UUUUUUUUUUGGUCACUCAGAAAAUUAAGUUUCUCAAGGGUCAUUUAGUCUCGCAAAAAAAUAUAUAUGAAAAUAAUAGGGAUGGCUUGCUCGGGCCGGUUCGGUGGGUUCACGUGGGCGGGAGCCGCUUGGUUGCAAGUCAGAGGGGUGGGUGGACUUCGCUCGUCGUCGCGCGCCGAGUUGGGAUUUGAGGUAGGAAUCGCCCGGAAGAGGACAAGAUGUGCUGGACCUGGAUCGGAAGCGGAGCUCAAAUCUAUCUAUCUAUCUAUCUAAUGCUACCAUUGACUUUUCUCACUCAUGCGGCAGCAGCACUCGUUUGCCUUUGCGUGCGUGAUCUAGCCCGGCUCCCCCGUGGACCGGACGGAUCCCCCCUUUCCGUUUUCGGGAACGAUGCGGCUCCCACACUGCCGCUGUUCCGUUUGAAACAAGAGUGUUUGGAGGGCCCUGCUCUGCUGGCCGGCAAGUGGCCAUGUCAACGGAGCAGCUCCGGCUUUUCCGUCCGAAAGCCGGGCGAGGCAAAUGUCAACAAGCGCUGCCAGCUCUGCAGGUCAGCUAUGGCAGCGGCCCCCUGCUGCUACAACUGGGCGGAUUCCCGUUGUGCGACUCCAAGGCGGCAUCCGAUCCGAUCCCGUCCAACUCAGCCGCUUUGGCGGACGCGCUUGUUGGAGUAUUCCUUGUUCCUCUCUGCACCUGCUCAGCUGCUGCCCGGUCCUCAAUUAUUUCUGAGGGUGAAGUCCUCCUCCGUUUCACUCUCACAGUCACCGUCGCCCGUAAAACGUAAUAAUCUACCGUCAGAAAUAACUCCACGAUAACAACGGCGGCGAGGCGACGCCUACGUACGUGCCACCGCAAAAAUACAUACGCACCGGCCGGCGCAAGAGACACUUCACAGUCGACUAGUAGUAGUACUGGCUACGGAGCAGCGGCCUGCGUGCCUGCCCCGGGUCAAAGGCAAACGUGCAUGCGGGAACAAACGAGCGAUCGGCAUCCAUGGCGACGGCCGGCGUCGCUUCCUUCCUCCCGAUCUGUCGAUCUUUUUCUGUGGUGCUGCGCGCGCACGUACGUGGUCGGAGGAGCGGCCGGAACCGGGGCGGUGAACGGCGAUCGCACACAUGGGUGGACGUGGAGCAGCGGCGGUGCGGGCGAGGUCAGCCGGGCCGCGUAUAGGUAUGUAUGUACGUGAAUGGUCGUCGCCCAAGGUAAUCAUGGCGUCUAAAAGUUGUGGCCGGCGGCGGCAUCAGCUGCUUUACGUAUUAAUCGCUCAGACUGUCACAUCCAUGGUGCUAAUAUACGUACACCUACGUUUGUUUUGCUUUUAUUUACGUGGUUGGAGUAAUUUUCUGAGGAUCAUGUAUGCGUACACCACGGCUUGUGGUAGGUACUCCCUCCCUCCGUUUCCAAGUGUAUAAGUCUUUCUAGAAUGUACAUAGCAAAAUAAGUGAAUCUACACUGUAUACAUACAUCCGUAUGAUGUAGUCUAUUUGAAAUGCCUAAAAAUACUUAUAUUUAAGAACGGAGGGAGUACCAAUUUUAAUAUCCCUCACGUGAUUGAUAAGGCAGUAACGAUUUUAAAGUCACCGCUGUGUUGGACUAGUUUGUCAACGGGUUUGGUAAUAAUUUUACGAGAUUUUUCCUUGGAAGACUUACGAAUCAUCCAGCCAAUAAUAUGUCAGCGUCCAUGUAUAGUCGUAUAUAUACAGCUAUUCUGUUGGACAAACGAGCAAGAGACUGAGGCCGCGUAGCAUAGUUAUUGUCAACUCGUUGACAGUUGGACGCAACUUCCGCGAUAAAACAUCAUGCAUGCACCUCCGAGAGAAAAGAAGUGUUGAGAAAGAUCUCGCUAGAGCGGAAUAAAACGUGCACGUAAAAAUAAUUAAUAGCCACCGAUCGCGUCGUAGAGGGAAAAGGGGGGGACAAUCGGACAAGAGCCACAAUAAAUUUCAGUGGUGGAGGUGGAAAGGCAGAUCUGCGAAAUCAUGAGUGGUCGUACGUGGGACACAAGCAGCUAGCUAGCUCCAUUGCCCUGGAUCACGGGGAACCAUGCAGGCCCGCAGCGCAACAACGACGCUCGCUCGCGGCGAAAUGACGGAGGCGAUUUCCUCCUCCUCCUCCUCGCUCGCAUUCGCAUGCCGGCCGGUGAGCGGAGCGUCGACCCUCACCCAAUGUCCACGGGAAAUGGUCCUGUGCAUGGCGUGCCAAUCAGCAGGAUCCAGAUGAACUUGCAAGCACGCGCGUGACGGGAGCUUAUAUGGCGGCGAGUGAAGUUUGAUUCAAACCCUGAAGUUGUAGAGCUCGACGGAAAUAAACCCUCACUUUCAAUUCUCUGAAAUUGGCACCAUGUACUCUUUGAUCCCGGUGUAAAUAAACCUAUAAUGGAUUUGAUGACAUGGCAUCAAGAGGCUGGGAUUGUUGACUUUGACCAGUACACGAAAAAUUAGUGUUGUGUCGCAGUAUUCGAUCUGUAGAUAUUUUACUGACAAAAAAAUAGUAUGACAGGCAACAGCCAAAGGGCCAGGGUGAUGUCCGUACUCGUCGUCCCAGGCUCCCAGCACAUGCCGUCGCCGUGCUCACGUGAGAGCCGGCGGCUAUCGGCGCCGCCGGUAAGAGCUCCACUGCCUCAUGUUUGUGCUCCAGCGCCUCGUCCGUCUAGAGCUUGCUUCGCCGGUAGAAUCUUGUGCGAACUCCACUGCUUUGUUGCUUAGGCCGAGGUAUAAUCUUGUGAACGUGAGGGAGAUGCUGGUCUUGUUCGACUCCGGCCAUGCAUCAGCACCACAACAAAGCUAGAAACAUGCAGAUGGUAGCAGUGAGCGCACAACGACAACUAGCAAGCAUGCAGUAGAAAUGGACUACACGCCAGUGGGCAUAUGGACUGGCAGGAUUGCCAUACGCCACCCCGUGACUAUCAGUUGCUGCCUUGUCCGUGCACGAGCGUGAAGUGAGAGGGUACUAAGACAGAGCUUGACGCGGCAGACCAGAUGGCCAUGGCUGCCUCCUCGGUGGCGGGGUCCUGCAACCUCCGCGGCCGGCGCAUGAUGAAGACAACGAACAGAGAGUGCCGUCAUGGACGUGCUACGCCUACGCCACACUCUACGGCACUGCCGCGAUGCCACACAGACACGCCGGGAGGAGGAAGAGCCUCAGCCUCCAAGGCUCCAACCGGUGCUCUUAGACGUUGUCGCGGAUACGUAAAAGAAAAUUUCGUCUGUGGUCGCCGUCGCCGCACCUGCUCGAUGCCGCACACACGGGAUGCGUUGGCCGGGAGAAGGAAGAGCCCUGAACAGGCGCUCUUUGACAUUGUUGCGGAUAAAAAAAUCGCAUGUUAGCGGUAGCCCUCGCCACGCCGCCGAGCUGCGGCAGGAGUCGGCCAUGGCAACGUCCUCGAGCCAGCACGGCGUCAAAAGUAGAAGCGAGAGCGAGGAAGAGGUGCAUGGCUAUAGAGCCGGGUUUAAUUUUGUGGGACCCACUCACAAAUGACCGUUCACUCACCGAUCCCGGUCUACUCCGGUGCCACGUAGCAAUCCUUCUGUUUGGAUACAGCCUCAAGGUUGAAAACGACCGGGAUUGAUGAGGUUAGGGUACCGAUUUCAGGGAUUUAGACAUGGAGGUUCAUUUUCGUCGAGCUCUACAACCUCAGGGUCUAAAUCAAACUUCACCCUAUGGUGGCAGACUGGCACGAUAGGAUCGAGCGGUACAUUUUUGGUCCCCGGCUAUCAUCCCUUUUUUCAAAAAAAAAAAAAAGAAACCUUGUACUUUGGAAGCCGGACAAAUUUGGCCCUCGCUCGAUUUUACAGAUGAUGUGGCAAAUUUUUUGUACACAUGGCUGCUAAUCAACACACAAAAUAAUAAUGGGGAAAUACGACGAACAAGAAAAACUUGGGUAAACUAAUUUACAAAUCUAAAAAAACAGAGAAAAAUGCAAGUUUGAAGACAAAUUGACAACAAUCCCAGGAGAUUAUCACAUGGGGAAAAUAAUAGAUUUCUUAUUCUCUAUUUUUUUAUGUUUAUUAUAGAAUAUGGAAACCAUGAAAUUCGGUUUUAUUAUUCAUUUUUUAAUAACUAGACAAAUUUUCAACAAUUUUCUUUCAUAAAACUUUCAGGGUUUUGGCUCGACAGGGUUGCGGCCACGUGUGUGAACCCACCUUCCACACAGACUCAGGAAAUUGGUAAAUCUACUUUUGCUAGCGAAUAAGGGAUCGGAAGUAGAUUUUUUAUGUCACAAAGCUUAAGAGCAUAAUUUUUGUUACAACACAUCGCACGUGAGAAAAUUGCGAGACCUACUUGGGCGGCCGAAUAAAGGAUCAAAAGUACGUUUUUCAUGCCACAAAGGUGUAGGUACAUCUUUGUUUUAUUUUUUGAACACAGUACAGUCGCAAGCGCUCAUAUACACGCGCAUAGACUCAUCCCUAUGAAUGCACACACGCACACCCUACCCCUAUGAACACCUUCGAAAGACUGAGCCGGCACAUCAUUUUGAAAUUUACGAAGUCACCGUAGACACCUCGUCGUCGAUGGGAACGUCUCUUCCCACUAAAUGCGCAUCGUCGAAAAUUCUGAAAUAAAAGCAGGAAUAAAUACGAGCACCAGGAUUUGAACCCUGAUGGGCUGGGGAUACCAUAGUCCCUCUAACCAUCCAACCACAUGUUUGUUCAGGUACAUCUUUGUUACUACUACUGUACAACACAUACAAACACACACGAGUGUCCACUGAACGCCCACGUUAGCCCACGGGGAGGGUAGAUCCACGGGGAACUUGCUCGAUUUGUGAUCAUGUAACUGGAUUCGGCCGGGGUCGUAAUACUACGUACCCCUCCUCCGGCCAUGUCAUUCAUGUCUGAUGUUACUUGUAUUGGAGCAGCCACGGGACCCGUUGAAUCACCUUUCUCGUUGACCCGUAAGCACCACGCCCCUGUGUUGGCGCGAGCGGUAUUGAAUGUGCAUGGUAGACUUGGCAGGGUCACCUCCUUUUCCGCCCGUCGCCAUCGUCGUCGUCGUCCUCCUCGUCGCAGCCCCCAACAAUCAACCAACUCCUGCUGCAUUAUGCAACGCAAAACAAAUGUGAGACACACACACAUAUAUAAGCUCGCCAUCAAGCAAGCUAAGCAUGAAAGGUUAGUUUCGAUUGAGUUUCCUCUUUCUUGUCCUUUUGUUAAUCUGCUGAUGGGAAAGUGAUAAUUCAGCCAAUUGGUUUUUUAAAACAUCGUUAGCUUUUUACGCCUCCGGAAGUGGCUUUACAUGAAUCCAGCUAAGCUGGCGGUGUUGCACUAGAGCUGCUGUUGACAAAGGCAUGUCCAAAGAUUUUAAUUAGAAUUCACCUUUUUUAAUUUGAGCUUUUAUUUAAUUGUAAUCGACCGUUAAUUGCGCAUGCAUGUUGGCGCCAACCAUGUAUUGAUUAUAAAUGCAACAUUGGUGCAACUAUAGCUUUUUCAGAAACAUUAGGACAAGUAGCUAGUGCUCUUGAUCUUGUCGAGUCAUUGAUAGGGUAUAAAGAAUUGGGGAAACAGGAAAGGCACUUUGCAGUGCAACAGCUUAACCUAACAUGUGCUGCUGCAUCACAUGCGUGAAGUACUACAGUACAGGACACGCAUUAUGUUCGUGGCCACAUAUGAACAUCAGUGAACUGCCAUGCGAGAUGCGGUAGAAGUAGCUAGUAGCAACCAAAAGGCUAACUUACUGAACCUUCAUUUAGGUGUCAUGCACAUGAGCUUUUUGUGCUCGUCGUCAGAGCCAACCCAGCAAAUCUACCAAAUCAUCUUGGCAUGCUGCAUCUGCAUUUCUCUACUCGACGUUCACAGCUAGGAUAGCAUGAAGUUAAAAGGUUACUUGGAGUUACAAAGUGUAAAACACAUUUUUUUGGAAAAGGGGACCUCCCCGGCCUAUGCAUCGGAAAGAUGCAUACGGCCACCUUUAUUAAACAAGCAAAUAGGUUCAACACAAGUCUAAAAGUCUCAAACAAAGCUGCUCACAGGGAGCUAAGGAAGAAAAACAAAUGCCACAUCCAGCCGACAAGAGAAAGACAGGAAAACUAAUUGCUAUCCUAUUACAUGACCGCCAUCCAAACCGGUUGAAGAUAUCCCGAGCAACCAUCUCCCAUCGGAUAGAUCCAGUAACCAAACGCUCCAUGGCCUCCGUCGGAGUGAGUGAUGACCACAUACGGAUCCAAACAGUGGCUCGGAAUAUAACCUGCAAAAAAUGAGUAUUUGAUGUUCUGUUAAAGACUAAUUCUGCAAUUCCAGAUAGCCCAUAAUAACGCAUACUCCUACACGAAUGUGUCUCGCUGUUUGGGGCUCAAUCCCAUCCAACCACAUGCCAAAUAACGUGUUAAUAUUAUGUGGAGGAGUAAUAUUGAAGGCUAUGGUCACUGAUUGCCAUAGAAUUUUUGCCAUAGGACAAUCGAGAAAGAGGCGCUUGAUAGAUUCAUCUGUAUCACAAAAGCUACACCGACCAGAUCCAGUCCAGUUGCAUUUAAUCAAGUUAUCCUUAGUUAAAAUGACUUGUUUAUGCAUAAACCACAUGAACACUUUAACUCUCAAGGGAACUUUGAUAUUUCACACAUGUUUCGACGUAGGAAUGGAGCUAGAAUUAAUAACAUCCAAGUACAUGGAUUUAACCGUAAAUUCUUCAUUCCUCGUGAGCUUCCAACACAACCGAUAUGGACGUUGAGACAGUUGAACCUCCAUCAGUCUUCUCACAAGAUGAAGCCAAGCUUCCCAACGGUUACCGGCUAAAGCUCUCCUGAAGCUAAUAUGUAGAGGCGUGGACUGACAUACCGUCUCAACGGUUGCGUCUCUUCAUUGAACAAUAUUAUAGAGAGAAGGAUACUGGAUCGCCAAUGGCGUAUCCCCUAGCCAGGUAUCCUCCCAGAAUCUUGUAGAUGUACCGUUACCGAUAACCACCUUGGUCCGGUUAAAGAAGAGCGACUUAACUCGCAUCAGGCCUUUCCAGAAAGGCGAGUCCAUCGGCCUCACCGUCACCUGGGAUAAGGUCUUGAACUGAAGGUACUUAUUACGUAGAAUCUGGGCCCAAGUGGCCUCGGUCUCCCGAGAAAGCUUAUAUAGCCAUUUACUGAGGAGACAUUUGUUCUUUAGCUCAAGGUUUUCGAUCCCAAGACCCCCUUGGUCCUUUGGUCGACAAAUAAUGUCCCAUCUAGCUAAUCUAUACUUUCGCUUCAACUCAUCACUUUGCCAGAAAAAACGAGAUCGAUAGAAAUUGAGUCUUUACCGAACUCCCACUGGCACUUCAAAAAAAGACAAAAGAAACAUGGGCAUACUGGUGAGUACCGAGUUAAUAAGAACUAACCGGCCUCCAUAUGACAUCAGUUUGCCCUUCCAGCAUCCCAAUUUCUUCUCAAAGCGAUCCUCAAUGCACUUCCAUUCGCUAUUUGUUAGCUUACGGUGAUGAAUGGGUAUACCUAAAUACGUAAAAGGUAAAGCCCCCAAUUCACACCCGAACAAUUGCUUAUAUGCCUCUUGUUCCUCCUUGGCUCUACCGAAGCAGAACAAUUCACUCUUGUGAAAAUUAAUUUUCAGACCAGACAAUUGUUCGAACAAGCAUAACACCAGCUUCAUGUUUCACGCCUUCACCAAGUCAUGCUCCAUAAAGAUGAUAGUAUCAUCAGUGUACUGUAGGACAGAUACACCUCCGUCAACUAGAUGAGGUACCAAGCUACCUACCUGUCCAACAUCCUUAGCCCUCCCUAUUAGAAUUGUCAACAUGUCAACGACAAUGUUGAACAAAAUAGGUGACAUUAGAUCUCCUUGUCUCAGGCCCUUAUGUGUUUGGAAAUAACGACAUAUGUCAUCAUUCACUUUGAUUCCAACACUGCCUUGUUGCGUGAAAGAUUCUAUCUGUCUUCGCCAAGCUAGAUCAAAACCUUUCAUCCUCAACGCCUGUUGAAGGAAUGGUCAUUUGACUUUGUCUUACGCUUUUUCGAAAUCCACUUUGAAAGCCACCCCAUCUAGUUUUUUUGUAUGGAUUUCAUGGAGCGUUUCAUGCAGGACCACCACCCCUUCAAGGACGUUCCUAUCCGGCAUGAAAGCAGUUUGGGAUGGUUGCACCAUAGAAUGCGCAAUCUGCGUGAGUCUAUUAGUCUCAACCUUGGUGAAGAUUUUGAAACUUACAUUCAGAAGACAAAUGGGCCUAAACUGCUCAAUUCGGACCGCCUCUAUUUUCUUAGGCAACAAAGUAAUAGUUCCAAAAUUCAGAUGAAACAGUUGAAGUUGUCCAGCGAAUAAGUCGUUGAACAUCGGAAGCAAGUCCCCUUUAAUAAUAUGCCAGCAUCUCUUAUAAAACUCCGCCAGAAAUCCAUCCGGCCCUGGAGCAGAGUUACUCUUCAUUUGAGCAAUAGCUUCAAACACCUCUUUCUCUGAGAAUGGGGCAGUUAAGAUAUCAUUCUCAACUGAAGCCAACUAGGGGAUAUCCUCAUUCCGCGACUCAUCUAGAGAUACGAAAUUAUCCUCCGGAGGCCCAAAUAAUUUCUUAUAAUAUUCAGUUAUGUAUAGUUUUAGAUUUUCCUGCCCUACAAUCGUCCCUUCAUCUUGCUCAAGCUGAAAGAUCCUUUUCUUUCUGUGCUUGCCAUUAGCGAUCAUAUGAAAAAACUGAGUGUUGGCGUCCCCCUGGACCACUUUGCGUAUCUUCGCCCGCAAUGCCCACUUCAGUUCUUCUUCUCGCAGAAGCUCUUUCAACCUCAUCUCUACAUCUAGCUUAGCAUGAAGUUCCGUUGGAUCUAGGAUUGUGCACUCGGCUUUUACUUCUAAGGCCUAAAUAAGGGAAAGGAGCCUUUCCUUUUCGACCUUAUACACCCCACUAAGAUGUUUAGCCCACCCUCGUAAGAAACUUCGCAGGUGACGAAUCUUAUUAUGCCAUCUCUCUAUUGGAGUUCUGCCUCCUAAAUCUUUAGACAAUUCCCUGGCUAUAAGAUCCAAAAAACCUUCUCUCUCAAACCAAGCUAGUUCAAAAGAAAAGAUAUUCUUGUUCCCCACGUGUGUUGCCUCCCCAGAGUCAACUAGCAAUGGGGUGUGGUCCGAAAUUCCGCUCGAUAACGUCUGUACGGUGACUAGAGGAAACUUUUGUUCCCACUCAACGCUCGCGAGUACACGGUCAAGCUUCUCAAAAGUAGGAGUAGGCAAAGAAUUAGCCCAUGUGAAUUUUCUGCCCGAAAGCUCUAUCUCUCCCAGAUCCAAGCUUUCAAUAAUGGUGUUAAACAUAAACGACCAUCUGCCAUCGAAAUUGUCAUUGUUCUUUUCGUCCCUCCUUCUAAUGAUAUUGAAAUCUCUCCCUACUAAGAUUGGAAGUUGUUCUGAUCCGCAAAUACGGACUAGAUCCGCCACAAAGUCUGGUUUUAAUUCUGGCUGUGCAGCACCAUAUACCGCCACCAAGGCCCAAUUAAAUCCGUCGAUCUUGGACCUAACCCGAAAUUUGACAGGGAACUCUCCCAUGACCACACUCCGGACUUCCAGCGUCUCACAUCUAACCCCAAGUAAGAUGUCGUCUGAUCUUCCUCUCGAAGGUAGACAAUGCCAAUCAAAAUCGGCCCCUCCCGACAACGUAUUGAGGAAUUGAGGCGCAAAAUUGCCUGUAGAUUUGUUAAUUAAGAAUCACCCAAAACAUAGUUAAAGCUCAAUCGACCAGGAAGGACUAUUGAUGGGAUGGGACUAUGAAAACCGUGCAUGAUUUCAUAUGUUUGUGAAAUCUGAGAACAAAAACUACUCCUACAACUUUUAUAUUGAAUGAACAAACUAUUACUAUGUUUCCUUUUACUCCGCAUAUUAGUAUUGUCUUAAGAAAGUUUGACUUAACAUGAAACGAAUAUGGAGAGUGAAAAAACAAAGAAAGUACUCCCUCUGUCCGGAAUUAUUUGUUGCGGAAAUGAAUAAAAAUGGAUGUAUCUAGAGCUAAAAUAUGUCUAGAUACAUCGAUUUCUACAACAAGUAUUUCCGAACGGAGGGAGCACAUAACAGUGAGCAAUCUUUUAGAUAUGCAUUAAAUUACGUAUAAAAUCGGUUGAAAAUUAGUUAAUACUUGGUCAGCCAAGACAGGUAGACACUCAACAUAAGCAAUGAGACUUGAUAACUCCACCAAUGUAACAAUUAACAAAAUAAGUUGAUUGCAUGACACCCAAAUAUUAUUACAUGGUGGUAGUUUGACCCCGAUAGUUUGUACAUAGAUUCUGUUGGGGAACGUAGCAGAAAUUCAAAAUUUUCCUACGUGUCACCAAGAUCUAUCUAUGGAGAGACCAGCAACGAGUAGAAAGAGAGUGCAUCUACAUACCCUUGUAGAUCGCUAAGCGGAAGCGUUCAAGUGAACGGGGUUGAAGGAGUCGUUCUCGUCGUGAUUCAAAUCACCGAUGAUCAAGUGCCGAACGCACGGCACCUCCGCGUUCAACACACGUACAGCCCGGUGACGUCUCCCACGCCUUGAUCCAGCAAGGAGAGAGGGAGAGGUUGAGGAAGACUCCAUCCAACAGCAGCACAACGGCGUGGUGGUGGUGGAGGAGCGUGGCAAUCCUGCAGGGCUUCGUCAAGCACCGCGGGAGAGGAGGAAGACUUGGGAGAGGGGAAGGGUUGCGCCAGAACUUUGUGUAUAGCUCCCAUGCGCCUCCCCACUAUAUAUAGGGGUGGAGGGGCUGGUUUCUUGCCCUCCAAGUCCAUUGGGGCGUUGGCCAAGGUGGGAGGAAAGAAAUCUCAUUAUUUCCUUCCCCACCGAUUGUUAUCCCCCCUUUUUAGGGAUCUUGAUCUUAUCCCUUCGGGAUAUGAUCUUAUUCCUUCUAAGGGGGGAUCUUGGUGCGCCUUGACCAGGGGUGUGGGGCCUUGCCCCCACUACCCACGUCCAUGUGGGUCCCCCCAUGCAGGUGGGCCCCACUCCGGAACCUUCUAGAACCUUCCCGGUACAAUAUCGAAAAAUCCCGAACAUUUUCCGGUGGCCAAAAUAGGACUUCCCAUAUAUAAAUCUUUACCUCCGGACCAUUCCGGAACUCCUCAUGACGUCCGGGAUCUCAUCCGGGACUCCGAACAACAUUCGGUAACCACAUACAAACUUCCUUUAUAACCCUAGCGUCGUCGAACCUUAAGUGUGUAGACAUGACCGAGACGUUCUCCGGUCAAUAACCAACAGCGGGAUCUGGAUACCCAUGAUGGCUCCCACAUGUUCCACGAUGAUCUCAUCGGAUGAACCACGAUUUCAAGGACUUAAUCAAUCCCGUAUUCAAUUCCCUUUGUCUAUCGGUAUGUUACUUGCCCGAGAUUCGAUCGUCGGUAUCCAAUACCUUGUUCAAUCUCGUUACCGGCAAGUCACUUUACUCGUUCCGUAACACAUCAUCCCGUGAUCAACUCCUUGGUCACAUUGCGCAUAUGAUGAUGUCCUACCGAGUGGGCCCAGAGAUACCUCUCCGUUUACACGGAGUGACAAAUCCCAGUCUCGAUCCGCAUAAAACAAUAGAUACUUUCGGAGAUACCUGUAGUGCACCUUUAUAGUCACCCAGUUACGUUAUGACGUUUGAUACACCCAAAGCACUCCUACGGUAUCCAGGAGUUACACGCUCUCAUGGUCGAAGGAAGAGAUACUUGACAUUGGCAAAGCUCUAGCAAAUGAACUACACGAUCUUUUGUGCUAGUCUUAGGAUUGGGUCUUGUCCAUCACAUCAUUCUCCUAAUGAUGUGAUCCCGUUAUCAACGACAUCCAAUGUCCAUAGCCAGGAAACCAUGACUAUCUGUUGAUCACAAUGAGCUAGUCAACUAGAGGCUCACUAGGGACAUAUUGUGGUCUAUGUAUUCACACGUGUAUUACGAUUUCCGGAUAAUACAGUUAUAGCAUGAAUAAAAGACAAUUAUCAUGAACAAGGAAAUAUAAUAAUAAUACUUUUAUUAUUGCCUCUAGGGCAUAUUUCCAACAAACACUUCUUGAAAUUUUGUAAGGGAUCAUCUUAUUUACUACCGUCGUCCUAAGUAAACAAGAUGCAUAAUCAUAAUAAACAUCACAUGCAAUCAAAUAGUGACAUGAUAUGGCCAAUAUCAUUUUGCUCCUUUUGAUCUUCAUCUUCGGGGCUCCAUGAUCAUCAUCGUCACCGGCAUGACACCAUGAUCUCCAUCAUCAUGAUCUCCAUCAUCGUGUCUUCAUGAAGUUGUCACGCCAACGACUACUUCUACUUCUAUGGCUAACGCGUUUAGCAAUAAAGUAAAGUAAGUUACAUGGCGUUCUUCAAUGACACGCAGGUCAUACAAUAAAUUAAGACAACUCCUAUGGCUCCUGCCGGUUGUCAUACUCAUCGACAUGCAAGUCGUGAAUCCUAUUACAAGAACAUGAUCAAUCUCAUACAUCACAUAUAUCAUUCAUCACAUCCUUUUGGCCAUAUCACAUCACAUAGCAUACCCUGCAAAAACAAGUUAGACGUCCUCUAAUUGUUGUUUGCAUGUUUUAUGUGGCUGCUAUGGGUUUCUAGCAAGAACGUUUCUUACCUACGCAAAACCACAACGUGAUAUGCCAAUUGCUAUUUACCCUUCAUAAGGACCCUUUUCAUCGAAUCCGUUCCGACUAAAGUGGGAGAGACUGGCACCCGCUAGCCACCUUAUGCACCAAGUGCAUGUCAAUCGGUGGAACCUGUCUCACGUAAGAGUACGUGUAAGGUCGGUCCAGGCCGCUUCAUCCCACAAUACCGUCGAAACAAGAUUGGACUAGUAACGGUAAGCAUAUUGAACAACAUCAACGCCCACAACUACUUUGUGUUCUACUCGUGCAAAGAAUCUACGCAAUAGACCUAGCUCAUGAUGCCACUGUUGGGGAACGUAGCAGAAAUUCAAAAUUUUCCUACGUGUCACCAAGAUCUAUCUAUGGAGAAACCAGCAACGAGUAGAAGGAGAGUGCAUCUACAUACCCUUGUAGAUCGCUAAGCGGAAGCGUUCAAGUGAACGGGGUUGAUGGAGUCGUACUCGUCGUGAUUCAAAUCACCGAUGAUCAAGUGCCGAACGCACGGCACCUCCGCGUUCAACACACGUACAGCCCGGUGACGUCUCCCACGCCUUGAUCCAGCAAGGAGAGAGGGAGAGGUUGAGGAAGACUCCAUCCAACAGCAGCACAACGGCGUGGUGGUGGUGGAGGAGCGUGGCAAUCCAGCAGGGCUUCGCCAAGCACCAUGGGAGAGGAGGAGUAGGAAGAGAGGUAGGGUUGUGCCAGAACUUCGUCUAUAGCUCCCAUGCGCCUCCCCACUAUAUAUAGGGGUGGAGGGGCUGGUUUCUUGCCCUCCAAGUCCAUUGGGGCGUUGGCCAAGGUGGGAGGAAAGAAAUCUCAUUAUUUCCUUCCCCACCGAUUGUUAUCCCCCCUUUUUAGGGAUCUUGAUCUUAUCCCUUCGGGAUAUGAUCUUAUUCCUUCUAAGGGGGGAUCUUGGUGCGCCUUGACCAGGGGUGUGGGGCCUUGCCCCCACUACCCACGUCCAUGUGGGUCCCCCCAUGCAUGUGGGCCCCACUCCGGAACCUUCUAGAACCUUCCCGGUACAAUACCGAAAAAUCCCGAACAUUUUCCGGUGGCCAAAAUAGGACUUCCCAUAUAUAAAUCUUUACCUCCGGACCAUUCCGGAACUCCUCGUGACGUCCGGGAUCUCAUCCGGGACUCCGAACAACAUUCGGUAACCACAUACAAACUUCCUUUAUAACCCUAGCGUCAUCGAACCUUAAGUGUGUAGACCCUACGGGUUCGGGAGACAUGUAGACAUGACCGAGACGUUCUCCGGUCAAUAACCAACAGCGGGAUCUGGAUACCCAUGAUGGCUCCCACAUGUUCCACGAUGAUCUCAUCGGAUGAACCACGAUGUCAAGGACUUAAUCAAUCCCGUAUUCAAUUCCCUUUGUCUAUCGGUAUGUUACUUGCUCGAGAUUCGAUCGUCGGUAUCCAAUACCUUGUUCAAUCUCGUUACCGGCAAGUCACUUUACUCGUUCCGUAACACAUCAUCCCGUGAUCAACUCCUUGGUCACAUUGCGCAUAUGAUGAUGUCCUACCGAGUGGGCCCAGAGAUACCUCUCCGUUUACACGGAGUGACAAAUCCCAGUCUUGAUCCGCAUAAAACAAUAGAUACUUUCGGAGAUACCUGUAGUGCACCUUUAUAGUCACCCAGUUACGUUGUGACGUUUGAUACACCCAAAGCACUCCUACGGUAUCCAGGAGUUACACGCUCUCAUGGUCAAAGGAAGAGAUACUUGACAUUGGCAAAGCUCUAGCAAACGAACUACACGAUCUUUGUGCUAGGCUUAGGAUUGGGUCUUGUCCAUCACAUCAUUCUCCUAAUGAUGUGAUCCCGUUAUCAACGACAUCCAAUGUCCAUAGCCAGGAAACCAUGACUAUCUGUUGAUCACAACGAGCUAGUCAACUAGAGGCUCACUAGGGACAUAUUGUGGUCUAUGUAUUCACACGUGUAUUACGAUUUCCGGAUAAUACAGUUAUAGCAUGAAUAAAAGACAAUUAUCAUGAACAAGGAAAUAUAAUAAUAACAUUUUUAUUAUUUCCUCUAGGGCAUAUUUCCAACAGUCUCCCACUUGCACUAGAGUCAAUAAUCUAGUUCACAUCGCCAUGUGAUUAACACUCACAGGUCACAUCGCCAUGUGACUAAUACCCAAGAGUUUUAGGUUUGAUCAUGUUGCUUGUGAGAGAGGUUUUAGUCAACGGGUCCGAACCUUUCAGAUCCGUGUGUGCUUUACAAAUCUCUAUGUCAUCUCCUAGAUGUAGCUACCACGCUCUAUUUGGAGCUAUUCCAAAUAACUGUUCUACUUGGAGCUAUUCUAAAUUGUUGCCCCAUAAUACGUAUCCAGUAUCUCUUCUUAGAGCUAUCCGGAUAGGUGUUAAGCUUGCAUCGACGUAACCUUUACGACGAACUCUUUUACCACCUCCAUAAUCGAGAAAAUUCCUUAGUCCACUAGUUACCAAGGAUAACUUUGACCGCUGUCUGUGAUCCAUUCAUGGAUCACUCUUGUACCCCUUGACUAACUCAUGGCAAGGCACAUUUCAGGUGCGGUACUCAGCAUGGCAUACUGUAGAGCCUACAUCUAAAGUAUAGGGGACGACCUUCGUCCUUUCUCUCUUUUCUGCCGUGGUCGAGCUUUAAGUCCUAACUUCGUACCUUACAACUUAGGCAAGAACUCCUUCUUUGACUGGUCCAUCUUGAACACCUUCAAGAUCAUGUCAAGGUAUGUGCUCAUUUGAAAGUAUUAUUAAGCAUUUUGAUCUAUCCUUAUAGAUCUUGAUGCUCAAUGUUCAAGUAGCUUAAUCCAGGCUUUCAUUGAAAAACACUUUCAAAAUAACCCUAUAUGAUUUCCAGAAAUUCUACGUCAUUUCUGAUCAACAAUAUGUCAACAACAUAUACUCAUCAGAAAUUCUAUAGUGCUCCCACUCACUUCUUUGGAAAUACAAGUUUCUCAUAAACUUUGUACAAACCCAAAAUCUUUGAUCAUCAUCAAAGCAUACAUUCCAACUCCGAGAUGCUCACUCCAGUCCUUAGAAGGAUUGCUGGAGCUUUGCAUACUUAUUAGCAUCUUUCGGGAUUGACAAAACCUUCCGGUUGUAUCACAUACAACCUUUCCUCAAGAAAAUCGUCGAGGAAACAAUGUUUUGACAUCCUAUCUACAAGAUUUCAUAAAUAAUGCAGUAAUCGCUAAUAUAAUUCCAACAGACACUUAGCAUCGCUACGAGUGAGAAAAUCUCAUCGUAGUCAACUCCUUGAACUUGUCGGAAAACAUCUUAACGACAAGUCGAGCUUUCUUAAUGGUAAUUCUUACCAUCAUUGUCUGUCUUCCUUUUAAAAUCCAUCCGUAGUCAUUUGCCUUACGACCAUCGAGCCGUUCUGCCAAAGUCUUCACUUUGUUUUCAUACAUGGAUCCUCUCUCGGAUUUUAUGGCCUCAAGCCAUUUAUCAGAAUCCGGGCCCACCAUCGCUUCUCCAUAGCUCGUAGGCUCAUUGUUGUCUAGCAACAUGACUUCCAAGACAGGAUUACAUACCACUCUGAAGUAGUACGUAUCCAUGUCACCCUACAAGGUACGGUAGUGACUUGAUCCGAAACUUCAUGAUCACUAUCAUAAGCUUCUACUUCAAUUGGUGUAGGUGCCACAGGAACAACUUCCCGUGCCCUGCUACACACUUGUUGAAGUGAUGGUUCAGUAACCUCAUCAAGUCUCCACCAUCCUCGCACUCAAUUCUUUCGAGAGAAACUUUUCCUCGAGAAAGUACCUGAUUCUAGAAACAAUCCCUUAUUGCUUUCGGAUCUGAGACAGGAGGUAUACCCAACUGUUUUGGGUGUCCUAUGAAGAUGCAUUUUAUCCGCUUUGGGUUCGAGCUUAUCAAUCCUGAAACUUUUUCACAUAAGCGUUGCAGCCCCAAACCUUUAAGAAACGACAACUUAGGUUUCUCUAAACCAUAAAUCAUACGGUGUCAUCUCAACGGAAUUACGUGGUGCCCUAUUUAAAGUGAAUGUGGUUGUCUCUAAUGCCUAACCCAUGGACAAUAGUGGUAAUUCGAUAAGAGACAUCAUUGUACGCACCAUAUCCAAUAGGGUGCAACUAUGAUGUUCGGACACACCAUCACACUAUGGUGUUCCAGGCGGUAUUAAUUGCGAAACAAUUUCCACAAUGUCUUAAUUGUGUGCCAAAACUCGUAACUUAGAUAUUCACAUCAUAGACAUUUUAUCCUCUUGUCACAAUGAUCUUCUACUUCACUCUGAAAUUACUUGAACCAUUCAAUAAUUCAGACUUGUAUUUCAUCAAGUAAAUAUUCUCAACAUCUACUCGAAUCAUCUGUGAAGUAAGAUCAUAACGAUAUUCACUGCAUGCCUCAGCACUCAUCGGAUUGGAUACAUAAAAAUGUGUUACUUCCAACAAGUUGCUAUCUUGUUCCAUCUUACUGAAAACGAGGCUUUUCAGUCAUCUUGCCCAUGUGGUAUGAUUUGCAUAUCUCAAGUGAUUCAAAAUCAAGUGAGUCCAAACGAUCCAUCUGCAUGGAGUUUCUUCAUGCGUAUACACCAAUAGACAUGGUUCGCAUGUCUCAAACUUUUCUAAAACGAGUGAGUCCAAAGAUCCAUCAACAUGGAGCUUCUUCAUGCGUUUUAUACCAUUAUGACUUACAUGGCAGUGCCACAAGUAAGUGGUACUAUCAUUACUAUCUUAUAUCUUUUGGCAUGAAAAUGUGUAUCAUUACGAUCGAGAUUCAAUAAACCAUUCCUUUAGGUGCAAGACCAUUGAAGGUUUUAUUCAAAUAAAUAGAGUAAUCAUUAUUCUCCUUAAAUGAAUAACCGUAUUGCGAUAGACAUAAUCCAAUCAUGUCUAUGCUCAACGCAAGCACCAAAUGACAAUUAUUCAGGUUUAAUACUAAUCUUGAUGGUAGAGGGAGCGUGCGAUGUUUGAUCACAUCAAACUUGGAAACACUUCCAACACAUAUCGUCAGCUCACCUUUAGCUAGUCUCCGUUUAUUCCGUAGCUCUUUAUUUCGAGUUACUAACACUUAGCAACCGAACCGGUAUCUUAUACCCUGGUGCUACUAGGAGUACUAGUAAAGUACAUAUUAACAUAAUGUAUAUCCAAUAUACUUCUAUCGACCUUGCCAGCCUUCUUAUCUACCAAGUAUCUAGGGUAAUUCUGCUCUAGCGGCUAUUCCCCUUAUCACAGAAGCACUUAGUCUCGGAUUUGGGUUCAACCUCGGGUUUCUUCACUGGUGCAGCAGCUGAUUUGCCGUUUCAUGAAGUAUCCCUUCUUGCCCUUGCCCUUCUUGAAACUAGUGGUUUCACCAACCAUCAACAAUUGAUGCUCCUUCUUGAUUUCUACUUUCGCGGUGUCAAACAUCGUGAAUACCUCAAGGAUCAUCAUGUCUAUCCCUGAUAUGUUAUAGUUCAUCACGAAGCUCUAGCAGCUUGGUGGCAAUGACUUCGGGGAAACAUCACUAUCUCAUCUGGAGGAUCAACUCCCACUCGAUUCAAGUGAUUGUUGUGCUCAGACAAUCUGAGCACAAGCUCAACGAUUGAGCUUUUCUCCCUUAGUUUGCAGGCUAAGAAAAUCGUCGGAGGUCUUAUACCUCUUGACGUGGGCACGAGCCUGAAAUCCCAAUUUCAGCCCUCGAAACAUCUCAUAUGUUCCGCGACGUUUCGAAAACGUCUUUGGUGCCUCUACUUAAACCAUUUAAUUGAACUAUCACGUAGUUAUCAAAACGUGUAUGUCCGAUGUUCGCAACAUCGACAAACGACGUUGGGGUUCAGCACACUGAGCGGUGCAUUAAGGACAUAAGCUUUCUACUGAUCGCAUAAUCGCUACUAUCAACUUUCAACUAUAUUUUCUCUAGGAACAUAUCUAAACAGUGGAACUAAAGCGCGAGCUUACGACAUAAUUUGCAAAAGGUCUUUUGACUAUGUUCAGGAUAAUUAAGUUCAUCUUAUGAACUCCCACUUAGAUAGACAUUCCUCUGGUCAUCUAAGUGAUCACAUGAUCCGAGUCAACUAGGCCGUGUCCGAUCAUCACGUGAGAUGGACUAGCCAACGUCGGUGAACAUCUUCAUGUUGAUCGUAUCUACUAUACGACUCAUGCUCGACCUUUCGGUCUCCGUGUUCCGAGGCCAUGUCUGUACAUGCUAGGCUCGUCAAGUUAACCCUAAGUGUUUUCGCUGUGUAAAACUGUCUUACACCCGUUGUAUGUGAACGUAAGAAUCCAUCACACCCGAUCAUCACGUGGUGCUUAGAAGCGACGAACUGUAGCAACGGUGCACAGUUAGGGGAGAACACUUCUUGAAAUUUUGUAAGGGAUCAUCUUAUUUACUACCGUCGUCCUAAGCAAACAAGAUGCAUAAACAUGAUAAACAUCACAUGCAAUCAAAUAGUGACAUGAUAUGGCCAAUAUCAUUUUGCUCCUUUUGAUCUUCAUCUUCGGGGCUCCAUGAUCAUCAUCGUCACCGGCACGACACCAUGAUCUCCAUCAUCGUGUCUUCAUGAAGUUGUCACGCCAACGACUACUUCUACUUCUAUGGCUAACGCGUUUAGCAAUAAAGUAAAGUAAGUUACAUGGCGUUCUUCAAUGACAAGCAGGUCAUACAAAAAUAAAGACAACUCCUAUGGCUCCUGCCGGUUGUCAUACUCAUCGACAUGCAAGUCGUGAAUCCUAUUACAAGAACAUGAUCAAUCUCAUACAUCACAUAUCAUUCAUCACAUUCUUCUUGGCCAUAUCACAUCACAUAGCAUACCCUGCAAAAACAAGUUAGACGUCCUCUAAUUGUUGUUGCAUGUUUUACGUGGCUGCUAUGGGUUUCUAGCAAGAACGUUUCUUACCUACGCAAGACCACAACGUGAUAUGCCAAUUGCUAUUUACCCUUCAUAAGGACCCUUUUCAUCGAAUCCGUUCCGACUAAAGUGGGAGAGACUGGCACCCGCUAGCCACCUUAUGCACCAAGUGCAUGUCAAUCGGUGGAACCUGUCUCACGUAAGAGUACGUGUAAGGUCGGUCCGGGCCGCUUCAUCCCACAAUAUCGUCGAAACAAGAUUGGACUAGUAACGGUAAGCAUAUUGUACAACAUCAACGCCCACAACUACUUUGUGUUCUACUCGUGCAAAGAAUCUACGCAAUAGACCUAGCUCAUGAUGCCACUGUUGGGGAACGUAGCAGAAAUUCAAAAUUUUCCUACGUGUCACCAAGAUCUAUCUAUGGAGAGACCAGCAACGAGUAGAAAGAGAGUGCAUCUACAUACCCUUGUAGAUCGCUAAGAGGAAGCGUUCAAGUGAACGGGGUUGAAGGAGUCGUUCUCGUCGUGAUUCAAAUCACCGAUGAUCAAGUGCCGAACGCACGGCACCUCCGCGUUCAACACACGUACAGCCCGGUGACGUCUCCCACGCCUUGAUCCAGCAAGGAGAGAGGGAGAGGUUGAGGAAGACUCCAUCCAACAGCAGCACAACGGCGUGGUGGUGGUGGAGGAGCAUGGCAAUCCUGCAGGGCUUCGUCAAGCACCGCGGGAGAGGAGGAAGACUUGGGAGAGGGGAAGGGCUGCGCCAGAACUUCGUGUAUAGCUCCCAUGCGCCUCCCCACUAUAUAUAGGGGUGGAGGGGCUGGUUUCUUGCCCUCCAAGUCCAUUGGGGCAUUGGCCAAGGUGGGAGGAAAGAAAUCUCAUUAUUUCCUUCCCCACCGAUUGUUAUCCCCCCUUUUUAGGGAUCUUGAUCUUAUCCCUUCGGGAUAUGAUCUUAUUCCUUCUAAGGGGGGAUCUUGGUGCGCCUUGACCAGGGGUGUGGGGCCUUGCCCCCACUACCCACGUCCAUGUGGGUCCUCUCAUGCAGGUGGGCCCCACUCCGAAACCUUCUAGAACCUUCCCGGUACAAUACCGAAAAAUCCCGAACAUUUUCCGGUGGCCAAAAUAGGACUUCCCAUAUAUAAAUCUUUACCUCCGGACCAUUUCGGAACUCCUCGUGAUGUCCGGGAUCUCAUCCGGGACUCCUAACAAUAUUCGGUAACCACAUACAAACUUCCUUUAUAACCCUAGCGUCAUCGAACCUUAAGUGUGUAGACCCUACGGGUUCGGGAGACAUGUAGACAUGACCGAGACGUUCUCCGGUCAAUAACCAACAGCGGGAUCUGGAUACCCAUGAUGGCUCCCACAUGUUCCACGAUGAUCUCAUCGGAUGAACCACGAUGUCAAGGACUUAAUCAAUCCCGUAUUCAAUUCCCUUUGUCUAUCGGUAUGUUACUUGCCCGAGAUUCGAUCGUCGGUAUCCAAUACCUUGUUCAAUCUCGUUACCGGCAAGUCACUUUACUCGUUCCGUAACACAUCAUCCCGUGAUCAACUCCUUGGUCACAUUGUGCAUAUGAUGAUGUCCUACCGAGUGGGCCCAGAGAUACCUCUCCGUUUACACGGAGUGACAAAUCCCAGUCUCGAUCCGCAUAAAACAAUAGAUACUUUCGGAGAUACCUGUAGUGCACCUUUAUAGUCACCCAGUUACGUUGUGACGUUUGAUACACCCAAAGCACUCCUACGGUAUCUAGGAGUUACACGCUCUCAUGGUCAAAGGAAGAGAUACUUGACAUUGGCAAAGCUCUAGCAAACGAACUACACGAUCUUUGUGCUAGGCUUAGGAUUGGGUCUUGUCCAUCACAUCAUUCUCUUAAUGAUGUGAUCCCGUUAUCAACGACAUCCAAUGUCCAUAGCCAGGAAACCAUGACUAUCUGUUGAUCACAACGAGCUAGUCAACUAGAGGCUCACUAGGGACAUAUUGUGGUCUUUGUAUUCACACGUGUAUUACGAUUUCCGGAUAAUACAGUUAUAGCAUGAAUAAAAGACAAUUAUCAUGAACAAGGAAAUAUAAUAAUAACAUUUUUAUUAUUUCCUCUAGGGCAUAUUUCCAACAGAUUCAUGCACCCGUAUUAGUUUAACCAAAUGUAAUAAUCUAGCUAGCCUCUCUCUCUCUCUCUCUCUCUCUCUCUCUCUCUCUCUCUCUCUCUCAGAUAACGACAUGAUAUUGGUGCAUAUUGACAAUUUAUCAUGACGUCAUUUUGACUCACGGACAUAAGCGACAUCUACAUUAAUCCAUAAGUGUAUAGUUAAGCUCGAGCUGCUCCAAUGACAUCUACAUCUUGCCUUCCCUAUAAUGUCGUAUCAGAAGAUUAAUAUUAUCAUCAUGGUUACAUAUGUACAUCAGUUAACUACCACACGAGAUGUGGUGGAAGUAGCUAAAUAAGCAAAAUGCUAACUUACCGAACCUGAAUUUAGAUGUCUUGCACAUCCAGCUUUGUGCUAUUCAUCAGAGAGCCAACCUAGCAAUCUGCCAAAUCAUCUUGGCAUGCUCCAGAUACAUUUCUCUACUCACCGCAUCUUAAUUAGCAUGAUGUUAAAGUUACUUAUAUAGUUAAAAUGUACUAUGUAAAUAAGAACACCACUUAAUUGUGUGACACGUCAUUGAAACCACUAUGCAAAAAUAUUGUCUUCAAAUGGUUGUUUGACCCCGAGAGUAAGUAGAUGCCUAUAAUUUCAAUUAAUUGAGACAACCUCAUUAUGUUUUAGGAAAUACAAUGGGAUACUCAUAAACAUAAAUAUACUUGUCUAUUAUGACAUGGUACAUUUUGGCUCACAUGCAUAACACAAACAACAUCCGCAUUAAACCACAAGUGCAUAGUUAAGCUCGAGCUGCUCCAAUUAAUCUUACAUCUUGGCUUGCUCGUUCUAGAAGAUUACUCCCUUCAUUCCAAUAAAUAAGGCGAGCAUGCAUUUCUAAAUCCAAAUUUAACCAUUAAUUUAUUGAAAAUAUAUAAAUUAUGUGACUUACAAAUUAUACCACUGAUUUUUUAAUACAAGUUCAACGAUAUAACUUUUGUCAUGUAUACCUUUUCAAAUGCAUUUGUCUACUCACUGCAUCUUAAUUAAUUAGCACGCCAUUUUUGAAAUAAGUUUUCACCCCGCUUUAUAUAAAUAAACUAACCACCAUGUCUAUAGAAAUUAGCAUUACGUUGAGGCCACUUAAAUAAAGUUAAAAAGUAUGUAAUUGACAACACAACUUAGCUGUGUAACACACUAAUGAAUUAACCACUAUGCAAACAUACUAGUAUUUUAUAUCUUCGAAUGGUAGUUUGACCCUGGCGCGGAGUGAGAGAUUGCAUGCAUCUACCUGUACCAGUAGUUUCAACUUUCAACGAACGAAAUGAUCUGGGUUUGUCUCAAGGAAUGUGAUAGGGUAUUGGUGCGGAUUUAUCAAAAAUAAGUUGGUUGUGUGACCCACCAAUGAAGCUGUAUAUUCAAACAUUAUUACAUGGUGGUAGUUUGACCCCGGAGCGUUAGUACCUAGAUGACAUGAUGUACUGCCAUUUUAACCAACUGUAAUAAUCUACAGCCAUUUUCUGAAAGACAACGACAUGAUAUUGCUGCAUAUCGAUAGUUUAUCAUGACGUCGUUUUGACUCUCAUCCAAGACAUAAACGACAUCUACAUUAAUCCAUAAGUGCAUAGUUAAGCUCGAACUGCUCCAAUGCCAUCUACAUCAUGGCUUCCAUGCUUCAGUAGAUUAAUAUUAUCAUCAUGGCCACAUAUAAACAUCAGUUAACUGCCAGACGAGAUGCGGUAGAAGUAGUAGAUAAAUAAGCAAAAGGCUAACUUACCGAACCUGAAUUUAGAUGUAGUCUUAGCACAUGCGCUUUUGUGCUGAGCCAACCUAGCAAUCUACCAAAUCAUCUUGGCUUGCUGCAGAUACAUUUCUCUACUCGCCGCUUCUUAGUUAGCAUGAUGUUAAAGUUACUUAAAGUUAAAAAGUACUAUUAACAACGCCACUUAAUUGUGUGACACACCAAUGAAACGACCAUGCAAAAAUAUUGUCUUCAAAUGGUUGUUUGACCCGAGAGUAAGUAGGAUGCAUGCAUCUGCUCAUGUACCCCUAGUUUCAACUUUUGUUUUUGCGGGGUAGUUUCAACUUUCAACUAACGGAAACGAUUUCAGUUUGUCUCAAGGAAUACGAUAGGAUAUUGGUGCAUGUAAUGUAAACAUACUGAUUUAUCGUGACGUUGCAGGUUUUGACUCACCUCCAGCACGCAAACGACAUCUGCAUUAAACCAUAAGUGCAUAGUUAAGCUCGAGCAGCUCCAAUUAAUCUUACACCUUGGCUUCUCCGUUCUAGAAGAUUAGAAGUAAAGCAGAGUAGGAGUACGUAAGGGUAUUAAUUAAACCAACGCAAUGAAAUGGCAGUACUACUAUAAACACAGGUCAAGGGGGUAGUGCGAGAGUGUGACGCCCAUCUUUAAUUUCGGUGGUUUUCCAAGGCAAAUAAUAGAAAAUUGUCCAGUUGAUGGCGCACUUGUCGAACUAGUCAAGGUAAAAUCUCUUAUAAAUUAAUCUUUGUCGUAGAAAAAGAUGGUAAAGUCCAACUGUGCACGCUGGUAAGCACCCACUGUGUAAGUGUUUACUAAUCCGGCACUUGCAUCAGCAUGCCAUAUGCUAACAUGGAUUAGGUUGAUCCUCACGUCGGCAUGCAACUCUCUCAUGUUGGAGGGAUACAAUAGUGAUACACCCUAUUAUAUUUGUUUUUUUUGCGGGACAUAUUAUAUUUGUUGGAAAGUGAAAGUCUACAUAGGCAUGCUCCCUACCGAUCGACUCAUUAACAAUUUUUUGUAGGUUUUUUUUUCAAAUAAUUAGGUUGUAGUCAAAUGCAUACGAAUGCAGCUGCUUAAUUAAAUCCUAGGUCCAGCUUAAAAAAUGCUCAUUUUCUAGUACUACUACUAUGUUAAGCAAAGAAGAAAGUUCCUUCGAUUAUUAGUACUUGCAUUACUUUUGUUGAUAAAACGCUCACACUUUUGGUCGUGUGUGGAUCCAAUGUUUGCGAACAAACCAUGGAAAAUAGGGGUUUAAUCAAGUCUGUCGUAGUGGGAGACCAGUACUACUCCAAAUUAGCGUGUGUUCCUAGUCAACCACUGAAAUUAAGGAGGGGGACAAAUCCAACCAAAUUGAUUAAUGGCACGGCCCUAUCACACGCACUCAUCAUCGCAAUGCUACGAUGCGACGAUCCCUUCGCUGUUGGUGACUAGGAAAGCCGCUGAUUUGAUGGUACGUGUUGGACUCGUGCACUCCCACUGGGGUAGAGUGCCGGCCGGCGUCGCACGCGUCCUGGUUGAUUUCCAGAGGAAAUAAGCAGAGGAGAGGAGGAUACCGAGUCCAUGGUCAAGGAGCUGAAUAAGCAGACGCCGAGCUGAGGAAGUCAGAACGGAGCACCUCAGCAGCACUCCACACAGAUACGGAGUCAACCUGAGGAAGCUUUCAAACGGCCGGCGUGGCGGAGCGGCCCCCUCUUUGGACAUGGCAUCAUCGGAUUUGACCCGGCGGCCGGAGGAUCCCCACCGCGUCGCGCGACGCGUGCGUGCGUUCCUUUUCUUUUUUUUUUGAAUGCCCCCUGCCCCACUUUAUAGAAUGAAGCAGAAAGCAACCAGUCACAAGUGUUUUGAUGGAAACCGACUACUACAAAGCAGACGCAACGAUAGAAACCUACAGCCAAAUAGAACAGAAAUUUUGGCUUGAUCGCAUAAGUUUUUAGUCUACUUAUUACAAAGCAUCAGUAGAAGAAAGAACACUGGAGGAUGAAAGGCAGAUCUUCAGGGGAAUUGGUUGAUCCAUCGUCUCCCGCGCCCAGUUCUUCAGUUGGUCUCUUCUUGCAUCAUCUCCAUGUGAUCCGGUGGAGUUCCUCACGCCGUUUGUCCAAAAGGAGAAUGCAUUGUUGUAAUAGAGUUGCCUGCACAUCGUCACAGAGAACCUUCAAUUGUUGUAAAUAGCAGCUUAGUUUUGCAAGAAUGCAUUUCACACUUCUUCAUUUGUGCCCCUGAAAGCAAAACUCGUUUCUUAGUCUCCACAGGCUCCAUAAGGUAACCGUUGUCACCAAAUUCAAAACAGCAUUCUUCUUAUGCAUAUGCCAGAAGGAUAUGAUAUUUUCAAAACCGGUUAUUUUGUCAAUACCCAAGAAUUCUGCAACAAAAUCCCAAACCUGUUGGGCUACCACGCAAGCAAACAACAAGUGUUGAACAGUUUCAUAGUCAGAGCAGAAAAGGCAGGAAGGAUCCUCAACUACUCUUCUUUUAGCAAGAUUAUGUCUAGUAAGCACCUUAUUGUGAGCACAUAACCACAGAAAGAUAUAAACGUUCUGUGGACAUAAGAUUUUCCACAUUUUGUCACUAAUAGUAGGAACUAUCCCACCAAAGUUAAUUUGCUUAUAGAAGGAUUUUACCGAAUCUACCCCACUGGGUUCUAAGCCCCAAAUUGGGGUGUCCACCCCAUCCAGAGGAGGAUGUUGCUUGACCAUAUAAACAAGUUGAUCCCAGCGGUCCAUACCAAAGCAAUCAACACAUCUUCUAAAUGUCAGUUUUAAUUCAUUCCCAUCCCAGACCUGGGCCACUGUACUAUCAGCUUGAUUACAAAUACUAAACAGGUCCCAAAAUUGUACUUUAAGGGAACAAUCCCCCCUCCCCACACACACACAUAUCAUGCCAAAAGCUAAUGAGAUUACCAUCUCCCAACCUCCAUCUAUAGAAGAUUUUUGCUGCUGCCAUGGCCCAAGUAAUAAUCUUCCAAAAGGUAGAGCCCCCUUCACUUUUAGCCCAGAGGAGAUUGGGGGAAUUUACUCUGUAUUUAUAUAAGAGGAGUUUAGUCCAGUCUGAAUCAGGAUGAUCGAAGAAUCUUUUACCCCAAGAAGCUAGCAAGGCCAUAUUAUAUUCUUUAAUAUCGGGAACCCCCAAAUUCCUUCUUCCUAUUAAUUAAGCCCCAAUUGGCUAGGUGGUAUUUGUGUUGAUCUCCCAAGUUCCCCCAAAAGAAAUGAGCCAUUUGAGAGUUAAUGGCAUUGAUUGCCCACUUAGGAAAUUUGAUCACAGACAUCAAGUAAGCAGGAAUGCUAAUCACACAAGCACACAACAAUUUAAUUUUCCCUUUAUAAGUGAGAUAUCUGCCCAGCCAGCCAGAAAUGCCUUUAAUGAUUCUGUCAAUGAUAGGCUGGAGAUCUUCUCUUUUAAGUUUAUCAUAGUGCAUAGGCACUCCCAGAUACUUUAUAGGGAAUGAGCCUUUUUUACAACAGAAGAUUUGUGCAAACUCCUUAGCAGUUGCCUCCUCAACAUUGAUAGUCAUGAGAUCACUUUUGUGGAAGUUAAUUUUCAUCCCAGAUAAGUUCUCAAAACAUGACAAAAUCCAUUUAAAGUUCCUUGCUUUAUGACCAGAGUUUUCCAAGAAGAGUAUAGUGUGGUCUUCAUAUUGUAGACUAAGCACACCUCCAGGGAUCACAUGGGGCAGAAGCCCAGAGAUUAAGUUUUGGGAAGUGGCUUUUUUGAACAUUUUGGUAAAAACAUCAGCAACCAAGUUAAACAAUAGAGGGGAGUGUGGAUCCCCUUGUUUGAGACCUUUCCCCCCUACAAAGUAGGGUCCAGUAGUAUCAUUAAUCCUCACACUAAAGGUGUUGUUGAUGAGAGUACUUUUAAUCCAAGCAAUCCACUUUGGACCAAAACCUCUCGAAUGUAGCAUAUCAAACAAGAAUUCCCAACUAACUCUAUCAUAGGCUUUCUCAUAGUCUAGCUUAAGAACUAAACCUUGCGAACCUGACUUUUUAAUCUCGUGGAUCAUUUCAUGAGCCAUAACUACACUUUCCAAGAUGUAUCUCCCCUUAAUGAACGCAGUUUGGUUAGAAGAAAUCAAUCUACGGCCGACGGGGUCAAACCUGUUGGUCAUGGCUUUGGAAAAAAAAUUAAUCCCACAGUUACUCAGACUAAUAGGUCUGAACUUAUUCAUCUCCCUUGCAUCAGGUUCUUUGGGAAUGAGAACAAUCAGGGCAAAGUUCAAAUGUUGAAUAUCCAGUUUACCCUCCUCAAAGUCUCUGACCAAUGCCAUAAAGUUUGUUUUAAUCACGUUUCAAAAGGUUUGGUAAAACAUGAAGGAUAGGUCGUCCGGGCCCGGGGCACCAUGGGCAUAAGACCCAAAAAUCGCCUCUUUGAUCUCUUCCUCGGAGAAGUUUUUUUGCAACUGAUCAUUCUCUUCUUGAGUAACCAUCUCACUCUCCUCCCAAAAGGAAGGUCCAAGACAGAUAUUAUGUUUACUUUCAAAACCAAAAAAGUUUUUGUAAUAGUUAGUAGCCACACCUAACAUUUCCUGAGUAGUAUAAACAGGACAAUUUUCUCCAAUUAAUUCAGAUAAAUGGUUUUUCCUAUGUCUAUGGUUGGCUAGAGCAUGAAAAUAGGCAUUAUUCUUGUCCCCAUCGGUAAUUAUACGGUCUCUGGAGCGCUGCCAUAAUUCUGAGACCAACGCCACCUUCGUCCUUCGAGCUCCUCCGGUGUCCACGCCGCGCCGAUCGCCUCCCGGCAGUGUCACGAUGGCUGAGCAGGCCGGUUGGUAAAUAUCUCGUGUAGUUUUUCUUUCAAAUCAGGCCAACUCCAACGCACAACUUGUGUCCGACUUUUUUUGAAAAUUGCGUCCGACUUCGACGGGAAAAAUUUGAUGGGGCCAACCGCAGAUUACAUCUUAUUAUUUUAUCCAUUUUGUGUCUGUUUGAUCCUAAUUUUUGAAGCAAACUUGCUCGUGAUUUGGGUCCGAAGCAGACACAAGCCAUUUUCUGCAUCCGGUUGUGUCCGCUGCUUUCCCCGACUACCCCACCUGCCAUACACCCACCUCUCUCUUCCCACCCACCCCAACUCCACCUGAGCCAGAGUGCCGCCGCCCCCCACAGCAGGAGCGUCGUCCGGCUCCCUCGCCACCGCCGCUGCAGGAGCACAGUCCAGCUCCCCCGCCACCGCCGCAGUAGCAGUCGCUGCUUUUCGCGUUGUGGGCACGUGAGAUGCCGCUCAUCCUCUGGCACACGCACCAGAAUGACACGGCAGCCGCGCGGAAACUGCUCGAGGAAGAUGACACGCUUGUCAACACACACACCCUGAAGCUCCGUCGUCGCCGGGCUGGUCGUCUGUGCCUGCCAGUACCGGCCUCCUCCUGCGCAACGGGCUAGGCAGGUUCAAAUGAGAAAGGGUUAAGGGUGGGAUGAGGAAGGUACGGGGAGGAUCAUGAGAUGGUGGCCGCGGGGGUCUUGAGUGCGAGCUGGAUGCGGAUGCAUGGCGGCCAUCGAUGCAAGCUGGAUGCGAGAGCCAUUGGCUAGAUUUAUUUAUUUUUGACAAAAAAGUGGCUUGUCCGUCCCAAAUGUGUCAACGCGUUGGGUGCAAGGAGCAUGUCGAGUGUGUGCUGUCCAUUUUUCUGACUCAGACGGACAAAAUCUAGACAAAUCGGAUGUCUGUUUGAAGUCAUCUGUUGGAGUUGGCCUCAUGUCUCCUGUAGAUGGGGACCUCCUAUACCUAGACUUGUGCCCUGGAAAAGAUGUCAGUGUGCCCAUUGCCCCCCACGCGUGACCUUGGGCGGGGCUAGGUGCGGAGCGAGCCUCCCUUGUUUUUUUUCUUUUCUGUUUGUUUCUUGUUUUCUUUUUAGUUUUUUUUUGCUUCUUUAAAAUAGUUCGGGAUUUCAUAAAAAGGUUAGAAUUUCAAAAAAUGUCCACUAGCGCAAAAAUAUGUUCAUGAAUUUAAAAAUGUUCACAAAUUCAGAAAAAUAUUCACAAUUACUAAAUAAUGAACAUUAUUUGAAGUUUUAUGAAGAUUUUUCUAUUUUGUUGAGAAUAAUUUGAAUUUUUGAUGAAAUUAUUGAAUUUUGGUGAACUUUUUUGUAUUUUAUGAACAAAAGAAAUAAAAUUCAAUGAACUUUUUUUGAAUUGGAUGAACAAAUUUUGAAUCCGAGAAUUUUUUAAUUCUAUAAAGUUUUUUGAAUAUGAUGAUUUCCUUUUUUGAAUAUGAUGAAUUGUUUUUGAAUUUGAGAACAUUUUUUGAAUUCCAUGAACAUUUUUUAAAUGUUCAUGAUUUUUUUGCAUUCGAUGAAGAAAUUUUGAGUUUGGUGAAUUUUUAAAAUUUUAGAAAAUGUUCACAGACUUAAAAAAUGAUCUCAAAUUUGAUAAAAUGUUCACUGAAUUUGGAAACAAAAAUAUAAAACAUACAAUGAAAAAAGAAAAGAAAAAAUAAAAUUAAAAGAGAAAGGGAAAAGAGGGAGGGACUAGUGUAAAGGCAGCACCUAGUGUGCAAAAAUUUAAAAAAUCAAUGACAUCCGUCGGAUAUUAAAUGGAUGUCCCAGAUUCAAUGCACAGGAGUUGGUGGAGCUUCUGUGCAUUUUAUGAAAACCCCCUGGACUAACAGUCAUGUAUACAAAGAUCCCUCCUUCAUGUUUCUCAAGCUGGAUCGGAGACAUCCAUUCAAAAUCCGGUGGAUGUUGUUGAUUUUUAUGUUUUUGCACACUAAGAGUUUUUUGUACACUAAUUUCUCCCAAGGAAAAAAAAGAAAAAAGAAAGGGAGGAAAAACCCAAAAAAACUGUUUGGGAAGAUUCUAGAACCUUCCCAAAACCGGAAAUGAGCACUUGGGCCGGCCCAGAUGUACCUAGCGGGAAGCCGAGGGGGUACGCCCGCGGUCGUUAUCGAGCGACCUACGCGGCAAAUAAGAUCGCCCCGUGUUGACAGGGACGGAGCGAGGGGCUCCCCCCAUGGUAAAAAAGCACCCCUGUAUUGUUAGCUUAAGGGCUUGUUUGGGACUGCUCCGCUUCAUCAAAAUCAGUUUCACUCCACUAAAUUUACUUUGGAGCAGUUUCAAGCAGAAGUUGUAGCACUACCAAAGAGAAUGUUUGGCUUCCAUCUAGCUCCAGCUUUAAGAAUGAGAAAUUUGGUAAAAAUGAUCUAUUUGAUUGGUUGAGGGCGAAGAAACGAAGGGAUAUCCACUUAUUGGUGGCAGUGGCGGGUAAUUUCCAUCCAACUUCAGUUUCUAGAGUUUUUUGAAGCACCCCCUGAGAAGCUUCAUAAAAAACUAGGAGUUGUAUCCUAGAUUCUAGUUUUUUGCGGAGUGGUAUAUCGUGGAGGUACCCCUGUUUGGCUUGUGUUUUGCGGAGCAGAGUUGAAUUUUAAGGAGCAAAGCAGUCCAAAACAGGCCCUAAAUGCUCAAGAUUUAUAUAUAUGUUUAGACCCCUCAAACCUUUUUACCUCUUCUAUUGGCCUCCCUGUGCCAAGAUUCCUGGCUGCGUACCUGCGUGUAGAUGGUAGAGCCUUGAGGAGAUGCCGGAUCACUUGCAGGAGGCCUCUGUGGCCGGUGGCUGGCCCGCCAUCGGAUCGGUCCGUGUAUGUCGACGGAGGCUUGUAGUUCAUGCUCCUGUUUCUCUAAACGAAAAAGAAAAAUGUGGUUCAUGCUUCUGUGCUGAAUGAAACAAGACGGUCGACUGGAUGACAGCGAUCUCUCGGUUGAUCAGAUUCAGAUGACACCUGUAGGAUCCAGGAGUGAUGGCGCAGCAGUUUGGGCCUAGCUCCCAGCCGUUUCCCACGACGGCGACCACCAGCGUACGUAAUGCUCUCAGCUCCCUCCUGAAGUCCUGAUUAAACAUGUGGUUCACAAGUGAUGUGCACGUGUGGGUAUAUGCGUUUGAAUUUUGAAAGAUCAUGUACUCCCUUCAUUCAUUUUUGUAAGUCAUUUCAGACAGCUCAAAAUGGGUUGUUUGUCUUAAAAGUGAACAGAGGGAGUAUUAUAUAUCAACAUAGUAUAUUUGUAAGCUAGAGGAAGUGCCAUGCAAGAAAUGAUCAUUGAUCAACAAGCGGAUCCGUCGGGUGGCCAUGGCGAGAGGCUAGCUGCAUGCGCAAGCCGGAGAUCGAUGGUGCUCAAUUUUUUUGUGAGGAACCAGCACGAGCAUUGUCUUUUUUUUAGAAGAAGAGCGAAAAACGUGAUGUACAAAGUGGCGCAUGUUUUUAGGGAACGUGGCAAACCCGUCAAAACGGCAACACAUCCGAUGCUAGCUUAGACAAUACCCACUGUUGGCAUGGCUCCUGCAAAAGCCAACUCGCGUUGUUUAAUUGCCUCGAAGGCCAAAAUCGCAACCUCACGGUGCAUUAGACAGAGUUCGGUGAAGAUGCUCUAUUUCGUUCUUUUCAUAUCGAUCAUAAAGUAUAGAUGAUCCUCCCACUGCACCGCCGUCGCACCUACUUUGACUGGUUGGCAAGCAUCAUGUCCCAUCAUUCCGACACAUUUCCUGGCUCGGGGAGGUAACCCGAUAUCGGUAAACCCUCGUUCGUCUAUGUGUUCACCUGGUUCUAAACCGCGACCGAGAAAGGGCAAUCCUCACAGAGUUGAUUUGCCGUUUCCGGCUCCUGAAGGCAUAGCAGACACCUGGGGUCAUGUGGCCAACCACGCAUAGCUUGCAUGUUUGUAGUGAUGAUUCUUCCAUGGAGAGCGAGCGUGGCGAAGAAUUUGCACUCGGGCUUACCGGCUUAGCGAUUAGCGUGGGCCGACCAAACCUUGGCGGGGUCGAACCUCGGGUGGGAGCCGAAAAAUUGCUCCCAUAGGCCGAAGCAGAGGAGAAAGCUCCAUUGGUGGUUAAGUUCCAAGAAAUGCGGUCUUCUUGGGUUGGCAACGGGGUUAUCUGACUGACCCACUCCUAGAGAGUUACGAAUUCUCCCAGUUGCUGCAAGGCCUGUAGGCGGGCCACCGCCUUGAUCCUGUUCUUGUUCAUCAACUCGUUGUGCGCAGAUCUGUUCUUUCUAGAAGCGAUCUUGUAAAACUCAGGGGCAAUGAACUUGAGAGGGCCUCUUCCGCUCCAGUUGUCAUGCCAGAAAAGGGCUUUUGCCCAUUGCCCAACAAAAUAGUGGUGCAGCCAUGAAAAAGGUUCAGGUCAGCUUGGUCGCACGACAGUUCAGUACCCACCCAUGGCCUCUCAGAGCCCCACACAUUUUAGCACCAGUAGUCUAUCAUGUGUAAACAUGAACCAAUGAAUAUCCUUUAUUUGUCUUUCAUAUGUAUGAGCAUGGACGAAGGCUAGAAAGAAUCAACACUGAUGGCAGCCACUAUGCACUACUGAACUAUGGCAAGGAAAUAUAAAUAACUUUCGAAAGACAACAGGAAGAAGGGAAAUAUGCAAUCGGCAAACAGUAUAACACUCCCUCUGUCUUAAAAUAAGUGCCCAUGUAGAGCAUCCACAGUCGGGCGUACCAAAUCUAGUAACCUAUACAUCCGCAGAUGUGUCUAAGUGCGUCCGCGGACAAUGACCGGCCAUCCUCAAAUCGCCGCGCCCACAACCGGCGAAUGGCGACACGUGUGUGGUUUCCGGCGACGGUGGACGACAGGGUGUGAGAAGGGACCGGGCUAUCCAUUUCGGCCAGAAAGGCCGCCACAUUUACUCGGUCACGGCGGGAGUGAGGAUAUUUGGGGAGAUUGGGAGGGAUUUUAGGCAGAGGAGGAUAAAUUUUACUCUAGGGAGUAAAACCGAAAUUAUCUUUCCUUAUGGCCGGAUAGAUGAUCGGUUAGAAAUGCCCUUAGCACAAUAUCUCUAAGGAUAUCUUUUUCUUUAACUUGUGGCACACUUUAUUCAACUCAAAUACGGGAUACAUCAGAAACAAGUCCAAUUAGAAUAAACUGUGGAGGAUCAUUAUCCCACGAGAUCAACAUCUAACUAUCUUGUGUGCCAUUUGGUUUGCCUCUCUUAGACAAUGAGCAUAAAAUACUGAUCCAAUUCUUUGAGCCAAUAUAAAGCACACUCAAAAUCGCCGAAUAAGGAUUCGGAAUGCCUAAUUCCCUGUUGCAUGCUAAGAUAAUUUCGAGACAGUCCGAUUCAGAAGUGAUAUUAGAACAUCCAAGUUGAUCUGCAAGCAUCGUACCAUUUUUCAAGGACAUCGCCUCGGGGGAAGGGGCAUCAAGAACCUGACUAACCAGGGACAAUGAGCCAGCCAAAGCCUGUCUCUAAGGAUAUUUGGUAACUCAAGAUUAGACUAAACAAAUUCAUUGCCAUUUCCAGAUUAUGGAGAAAAUUCCUUAUUUGACACUGUCUUAAAAUCUGGUUCCUUAUUUGACACUGGAAAAGUUUUUCUUCCCUAUUUGACACCAGUCCUAAAUUUUAUUCCCUAUACGACACUUCCGUCCAUUCUGAGCCUAAAUGACAUCUGAAAAGACGAUUUUAUCCCUCAUGCGGUAUGUGUGUACGCGCGUGUGUGCUGUUGCAUGUGUGGGUGCACGCGCACAUGUAUGCUGCAGCUGCAUGUGUGCUGUUGCGUGUGUGUUUGCUACAGCGUGUGUACGUGCGCGCGUGUGUGUGCGCGCGCGCUGUUGCGUGCCUAUGUGCUGCCUGCGUGUGUGCUGCUGCUGCUGCGUGUGUGUGUGUAUGUGUGUGUGCGCUGCGUGCGUGUGCACGCGCGCGUGCGUGUUGUUGUGUGUGCGCGUGUGUGUUGGGCAUGUGUAUGUGUUGCUGCGUGUGUGCUCCUGCCCUCGCACUGAUGUUGCGUGUGUGCGCUAUUGCCCCCCACAUACAUACCACAUGAGGGGCAAAAAAGUCUUUUCAGGUGUCAUUUAGGCUCAAAAUAGACGGAAAUGUCAUAUAGGGAAUAAAAUUUAGAACUUGUGUCAAAUAGGGAAGAAAAACUUUUUCAGUAUCAAAUAAAGAAGCAGAUUUUAAGAUAGUGUCAAAUAAGGAAUUUUCUUCAGAUUAUGUGUCGGCUUAAGCUAAGACUGUUUCGUCAACACUGCACGCCUUAUGGGAUUGUAUGCAGAACCUAAGGGAGUAAUAAUUAUGUGAUGUGGUACAGUGGAUAAGCCGUUGGAGAGGUCGCAGCUGUCAAAUGUGAUGCUAUACCUUGUCGUUCAAAUCUUACCUCUAUCUCUGUACAACGAGUUAAAUAUGGUCAGUGUAGUGAGAUUUGUGAAACUAAUCAUGCUUUUACGCCUAUCGUCGUAGAAGCAGUGACUUUGAAAGAUUAUGCGUAUUGGGUAUCUAAUUAACUAAUCCUCCAAAUCAACUAAACCGGGGGAAGCUGAAGCCAAAAUGCAAUUCUCAUGUGAGGGGGGAAGCUCCAUCGCAUUUCAUAAUUAUGGUGCGUCGUCUCUUUAUGCGAAAUCGCUUGCCUACUUACUUUGAUGGACAUCAAUCGCAUCCGAAGAUGAAGCCAGAACCAUACCGACGGCGGCCGGCCCGAGUUCUACUACGAGGAUGGAAUGCACCCUGAACAAGUUGGGUCAUAUCCUUAAAUCAAUUAAAUAAAUAGUGAUAAAUUUGGGUAUGGAAGUAUGUCAGGUGAAAUGGAUUGGCUUCAUCUUGAUUCUGCAUUUUAUUUGUUUGUCAUCAGUCUAAGAAGUCUUAAGGACUGCUUAUCAAAUAAUGUUCAGUUCAUAGAUUUGUAUAAUAUCUAAAUAUUGAUAGGAGUGUUCAGUCGAUAUAUAUUUAUAACUGUUAAACCCAUGAUGCAGGUAAAAAUAACUUAAUAAAGAAAGUUUACAGUUAAAGCUUUCUGAAUAUUAAGGUCCCAUCAUAGCCAAGAUUUGAAGUUCCCAAAAGAACUGUGCCUCCUCCAGCUCUGGUUCGUCUCCUCUCCGAUGAAGAGGACCAAACCGUGCCCAGCAUGAGAUGCAGGAAAACAUCUGCCUGGUCUUGAAGGUCUCCAAGAAGAUGACAACAAUCACUCGUAAUAAACCAAUUUAACUACAAAUACAAGAAUCAAAGACCGUGAAACUCAUGAAAAGAGGUAACUAUUAGAUUGCAUAAUCUAAGAAUUGACAUCGUCGACAUAAUUUCUUCCCAGCCCAAAUCGGAUUGAAAUCAUGGUGAAGUGGUGAACCAGCAGAGGAGAGGAGAGGAUGUCACCAACAAGCGACGCAUCGUAAAGGCAAAGCUCACACGGAGCAGCUGUUGAGGUGACAUUGCCCCCUACGCGUGUGCGGAGUCAAGCUGCCGCUACCGGGUAUGGAGCGAUAUCAUCUCAACGGCCGCUACAAUGAGCAAAAGCAGGGACGGAGUUGUGCUGCUGCGGCAGCGCAGGAGGAUGAUCUGGGAGGUGGAUCUGGACAACCAUUUAUGAAGGGGGGAGGAACUGGUAGGGUAGAGGAAGGUAUAUAUAGCAAUUUCGGGGCUUCGAUUUGGGCAAUUAGGGUUUUAUUUUGGGCCACUGGAACACCAGUGAUGGGCCACGAUUUGGCCUGGCAGCAGAAGGAUAGGAUCCGGAAAUCCGUUGGUGCUCCCGGGAGCGCGCGCUCCUGCACGUGAAAAAGUAUUUUAAAGUGUGAAAAAAUUUGAAAAAAAAAUUGGCACAUACAUCUCAACAUUAUAUGUGUGCACGUCAAGUUUCGAAGAAAACCGACAUUUUUUGUGGAUUGUGUAAAAAAGACAAAAGUAUGUCUUGUGAAAAGCGUUUUUAACACCGGAUUUUGUCAUUUUCACACGCAACACGUAAGUUGUCAGUUUUUCGCGAAACGACUUUGUGGACAUGUACAACAUCGAUAUGUGCGCGUCAAAUUUUUGUUUGAAUUUUUUUGACAUUUUAAAUAUGUUUAAAACAAAUUUUCAAAAUCAUGAGCACGCGCUCUCAUGUGUCAAAACGCCGCUCUCGGUAGGAUCCUAUAAUUUCCCAACAAAAGGAAAAAUCAUCGCUUCACCAAAAAAAAAGGAAAAUCAUCGCUAACGUCUUGGUUCUUUCUGCCCACCAACACACGGUUCAACAAAGUGUGAUUCUUUAGUACUAAUGUAUAUUUCUAUGCCGCCAUUGUGGACCCUAUGGGCGUAUCCCCUGGCUUAAUGUGCAUCGGUCAUCUCUUCUUGUCCACCGACCCCUCUUCAUCUCUCUUCCCACCUCUAUCAUUCUCCACUCCAUACUCUUUGUUUCAAUUGUUGCACAAUCAUUUUCGCCACCUCGACGUGAUGGUCGUUGGAUGCUUCGACACCAACUGGGUCGGGCUCACUAAGAUGUGGUUUAUCAUAUUUUCCCAUUUCGUCUGGUGUUUCGGUUCUUCCCUCCAAGACGCGUCACAUUUAUCUUUGUCUAGCCCCUUACUUUUGGAGAUAUGAUGACUUGUAGGCUUGUAGCCAAGUGCCUCUUCGAGUUGCACAUAAGUAAAACCAUGCUGAGAUGAAUUGAGUAAAAAGGGAAAUAGUUGGUUGAGCCGUUCAGCAGAACCAUGUCGUUUAUUUGUGUGGGGAUACCGGCCACCCUUGAACUAGCACAUAACAAAAUCAUUAAAAAAUACAUAAAAAACAAAAUUAAACAUUUUUCUAUAUCUCACAUGAUCGUUUCUUUUAGAUGCAUAUUAAAAUCAAGGAAUAAAUGAUCCAUUUUGUGCUUUCGGGGAAAAAUCAUAAGGCGUGCUCCGAACAAGCGAAUUUUGGACAUAUGCAUGCGGCACGAAUCUCGAGGGGUUGAAUUUGUAUUCUACUAUACACGGACCAUUUAAUCCAUGGUUCAACAAGUCCAUUCCCGUGAGUAAAACCACGCCUCGUCUGGUUUACUUGACCCGAAUCCUAGAUUAUUUAUCAUUCGAAAUAAGGCUCACGUUGAGAGCUCAAGUUUUGCUGGUUUCGGGUGGCCCGUGGCCAAAACUUGGCAUUUUUUUUUAUCAAUUUGAAUAUUGUAUAUAUGAGUUUUUAGUCUCUAGCCUUCCCUAGAACCGUUGAGAAAUCUGAUAGAAAUAUGGUAGUUGGAAGACUUAUGUUCUGCUGACAUGCUCCUCGAUAAAUUAUUUCCUAGUACAUUUUCCCGCAAAACAUUUUGAGCUAGAUAGUUUUUUAAAUUUACCAUUCCAAAUACUUGAGUGUUGCUCGUCCAACCUUUCAUGUGCAAAUGGUAAUUUCUUCAUAGAUAAUUAGUAAAAAAAAUAGUAAGACUCAGGUACCUACAAGCCUCCACAACGAUUUUAAGCUUUCAGCCCAUGGAAAACCGUUAUGACCAUGGGCAAUUGGUCGUUCACGCUAAAUUUAAUUCCCGGGACUUGGAUAAUCAUUUUCCUAUUCACGGUAGUUUUGUUGUUCAUGCGGUAACUCGAGCUGGAGGUCUUUGGGUCAUGUGGUCGGAUGACAUCAAUAUGGAUAUAGCCUACUCUAGUCAGGACUUAGUGUGCGCUGCAGUGUAAAUGCUAGUACUAGUUUUAGUUUCUCCAUGGCUUGUGUUUAUGGAAAUCCUCAUCAUCUCGAAUCUAAGGAUAUUUGGAGUCGCAUCGAUGCUUUUAUCUUAUCUUCCCGGGGAAGCCUAUUUACUACAUGGGAGACUUCAAUGAUAUCCUUAGUCCAGUAGAUACGACUAGUAAUGCUAAACCAAAUCUUCAUCGUAUAAUCGACUUUAAUCAUCAUGUUAAACGAUAUGGUUUGAUAGAUAUGGGCUUUCAUGGUCCUGCUUAUACUUGGUGUAAUAAGUGUUUUUCCUCUAUUCCUACUUAUGAACAUCUUGAUCGUGGUUCUGCUCAUGUGAAAUGGUGCAAACAAUUUCGUAAUACUACUGUUUAUAAUUUGCCCAUCAUGUACAGUGAUCAUGCUCCAAUUCUUACUAUCUCGCAACCUCUCGUUGUUAAGACCAAAAGAACUUGAAAAUUGGUGGUAGGUUGAAAGUGCUUUUCAGGUUACAACUCAAGCUGGUUGUUCCAGCGUCAAACCUUUCCAUAGAUGCACCUCUAACCUUGCAACUUCUCUCAAAUGGUGGAGCAGAUCCAAGCGCCUCCUUCAAUAGCAGCUAGAUUCUAUCCACGUUGAACUUAUGGUUGGGCAAUCUACCCCUUUUCAUUUGCAGGAUCACAAGGAAGCCUCUCUUAUUGAUCAGCAUGAUAAAACCAUGUUCAAACUAACUGAGUUUUACACGCAGCGAGCUAAGAGUCAUUGGGUUAUUCAUGGAUACAAAAACACAACUUACUUUCAUAAUGUCAUGCUUAAAAGGCGUCGGGAAAUUAACAUUAGUGGCAUUUUAGACUCUAAUAAUAAUUGGCUCCAUAACCUAGAUGACAUAACUUUUUGCUUCAUAAAUUAUUUCUCAGAUUUAUUUGCCACUAAUGAUGCUAAUUUUGCCAAUAUGCAUAGUUUGGACAUGCAAAAUAGGGAAGCCCUUCCUUUCCGUUCUAUUCUAGAUAAACAAGAAAUCAUGCAUGUUCUUAAAGUUAUGAAGAGACAUGCAUCUCCUAGCCCAAAUGGUCUCAACGUAGACUUCUUACUCUUUGCUUGGAGUUUGAUUAGGGAUGAUGUCACAAAAUUGGUACAAGAUUUCUACAACCAAGGUAAGCUUCAUCCAAACCUUAACAAGAUCUACAUUGCUUUUAUUCCAAGUAAAGCUAUUGCUUGCUCUCCUCGGGAUUUAGGCCUAAGCUUCUUUUGUUGUUAACAUUAAUGGCCAACCUUUCGGCUACUUUCGAGGUACUAGAGGUAUCCAGCAAGGGUGUCCCCACCCACCACGCCAACGCCUCUGGAUCCGAUGUCGCAAAGGUGUGCCCCACCCACCACACCAUUGUCGCUGGAUCCGACGCUGCCUUGGACGGAUCCUGUCGCCACCAUGCUCCAUGAGAUAUGAGAGAGAGCAACGUGGGAGGACGAGGAGUGGCGACGACGAGUGACUAAGGAGGGGGCGAGACGAAUUGCUCUAACCCAACCAUUUCCAACUGAGUAGUCAACGGCCGUUAACGACGCACCGUCCACCAUAUCGACUCACGAGGGAUUUGCCACAUCAAACCCUGCUAAAAAAGAUCGGUGUAUGUUUGCACUGUCAUUUUUUCGGUGUGGUGCAUUGAGCAACAUUUUGUAAAGUGGUAGUUUUUCACUAAUGGUGACACGAUUGUGGUGGUUAUGUGCAUUUCACUCCUCUAUAUGGGGGUCAACCAGAGGAAGGGAGCUUCUAUUCACUUCACACGCAUGCACGAUCGGACAUUGUCAUUUUUCAUCGGGUUUGAACCGGAGGAUCUAUCCAUGAUGCAUUGCAUCAUUAUUCCUUCCCUCCUAAGUAAAUAUCAUACAUCUUCAACUAUAAGCUUGCUUUUUUUUUUGAGAAACCAAGAGCUCUAACUUCUGCGCUCAUUCGCGUUCUUCUGAAUUUUGGGUUAUUUGGUUCAUAGCCACACCUUAAAUCAGGCAAGUUUAUGUAAGUUAGGUGGGUGUUUGAUUUCGGGUCACACCUAAGGCAAGUAUUAUUUUAUGAGCAAUAAACCCGGCAUGUCAUACACACAAAAUGUGGCAAGAUUCCCUAAAGCAGGCCAUAGUGUGGCUAAGAAUUUGAACACGUCAAGUUAGGCAGGUGUGGCAAAAAUAAUAUGGCAACAUAUAGCAAAGACAGUCACAAACCGAAUAGGCUGAAUCUAUCCGCAUACAUCCGCCCUCAAUUUUUAAGGUCUGCACGCUCGAGAUAGCCUCAUAUCUAGUUCUAGUUUAGCUAAAAAAUGUUCAAAUGCAGCAGUUCUUCAAAUUUAAAUGUUGCAAUCCAACAAAUCAAAUUGUAAUUGUUCAAACUGGAAUUUAACAAGCACAUAUGUACUAGUUGUCACCUUUAACCGCUCACAGAUGCUCAAUGAAAUCUUUUUUCUGUUGCUCAUGAGUUGCUCGAUGCCGAAUUUGUUGAUGUGUUUUAACAAACUCAUCAAAUGUGGCCAGAUUCUGCUAUGAAAAUUCGAUAGGAUCACCCAUAUUCUUAAACUCAACAGCUACAGCAGCAUCUUCACCCCAUCCAUGAUCAUUGUGUGCAUGAUCACAAAACAUGUCAUCACCUCCCACAUGGUCUUCGGAUCUCAUUAUUUAAGAGGUCCGCAAAAUGUGCCUGCAGAACUCCAAAUGCCAUCUCAACAUCUUUUAUAUGCUUCUUGUUUUGGGGCAAAGUGAGACUUUUUCUAACUUAGUUGGUCAGAUAUGGUCUUGACAAAUUAGCCCAUGGUCAACCAGAUAUUACCCCAUGUUGUAUUCAUGCCCAUUGCCAGUAUAGUUGCAAGGAGGAGCUUUCACUUCAGUCAACCUAGCAAAUAUUGGUGAUCGCUGUAGGACAUUGUGAGACCCGGGCAUGUCAAAGAAAGCGUGCCAAAUCCAGAGAUCCUAUGAUGCAACUGCCUCAAGGAUGAUGGUGGGCUUCUUAACAUGACCCUGAUAUUGCCCUUGUAGAGUUUUUGAGCAGUUUUUUCAUCUCCAAUGCAUGUAGUCAAGAGAUCCAAGCAAACCCGACCACCCUCUUCCUUCAAACAUUGCCAAGAUCCUCUCCGUGUCUGCGACAGUUGAUUCUCUCAUGUACUGAGGUCCAAACACCGAGACCACGAGAGUAGCAAAUCUGACCAUGGCGUCUCCGCGUGUGCUCUCAGACAUCCGUAGGGAUUUGUCCCACGAAUCAGCGACCGUGCCAUAUGGAAGCAUCCACAAUGCAACCGUGCACUUCUGGUAACAUGAGAACCCAAUCCUUCCUACGGCAUCCUUCUUCAAAAUGAAGUAGUCAUCAAAGGACCGGGCGCCAUGAUAGUGAAUAUCAAUGAUAUUUUUUUCACAUCCAAAAGCGCCCGCGAAAAUUGUCAUCGAAUAGGGUAUCGGGGGCAUGGUAGUCGUCCAUCAGCGUCAAAUGGUUGUGUGCCCUGUUGCACUUGAGCACUAGAUGACGCUUGAUCGAUCCCUUGAAAUUGAGAACAUGCUCUUUCGCAUGCUCCACCUUUGCAAGGACCACCGGUAUCAUCGCCCUCCCAUCCGUGUAGUCCUCCUCGUUGGACGACUCAACAUAGUAUUCAUAUAUGUACUCCAUAUCCGAAUUCAUUGCUUCAAAGAAGAAGGGACAACAAAAUUUAGCACGGGCAUUUCACCGAACACUUCCCAAGCAUGGUUAGUACCGUAGGGGGGGUACCUGUGCAGCGGGCGGAGGAGAGGUGUCGAAUGACGACGAAGAACAAGUGGCGUGAAGCCCGGAUGUAGCGUUGGAGGUGACAGGGUCAUCAAGUUCCGACAAGGGUGUGGCAAGGCGACCGAGGUGGUGGAGCAGCGGUGGAGUCAAGAGAGAAAAAUGAUGCAGAGAAAUAUGGGAGGAUAGAGGUGUGGGGCCUGUGAGGGGUUUUGGGUGGGUUGGUGGUGUCGAAGUCUUACGUCGCUGCUGUCCGGAUUCCUACCAAGCUCCCCUCCCCCAGUUUGUUUUGGGUUUGCGAAAAAAAAUGCGCCUAGACCAGCGGUCUAGACAGUUGCGGGUAAUUUGAGGGUCCGCUUUAAAGAUGCCCUGAUGCGCGGACCACGGGAGGAGAGGAACGGGCUAACGAACGACGGUGCUUAUUCUUUGGGGAGCGAGGUUGAGGCACAAUUCUCUUUUUCGUUUCCCUUGUGCAUGCAAUAAAUUUUUCAUGACCGAUCUUCAAGAAGAAACAAAGAAGUAUACUGACUUAUUGGCCGUACGUGUUUCUCAAAUUCUCAUCGUUUACAAAAGAGAUCAAGAUUUUACCUUAGAGGAUUUAUAAGUUAUGGAUGAAGACCACAGAUACGCUAGAAAUAAUUCUUGGUGCAUGGAACACACACAUGAUACGACCCGAGGAUCGAUCAGGCUCCGAGGAGACCUGGGAACUUCCCAAUUGGGGUGUUGGUGGCCGCAGCAAGGUACUUGGCCAUAUCACGGCGACACACCGGGCACGUGGCCACCUUGGAUAACCACGGCGCAAUGGAGCCCCGGUGGAAGGAGUGGGAGCACGGCAGACUCACGGUAGCGUCCCUGUCGUCGCUGCCAUUGGCCGCCGCCAAAUCCUCCAUGCAUAUACUACAACACUCGGUAACCAUCGCCAAAAAAUAAUAGAAACCAAGAAACCGACAGAGAAAUCUAUAUCUAUAUCUAUAUCUAUAUCUAUAUCUAUAUGUAUAUGUAUAUAUCUACUAUUAAAGGGAAUAAAUAUUCUUAGUUUGGUUUAGUCCUUUUUGUUUGGUUUGAGUGCACGCUAAGCCAUCUGGGUCAGGUACUUGUAUGUUGAUGGGCCUUUUAUGUGCUUUUAUAGAGACCGCGAAUAAUAAUUAGGUCAAAAUAAAUCAAUAUUGUUGGAAUUGAUCACAGGAACUCCUAUCUGGAUGUUUUAUGUAACAACCAACGACCUAUACACCAUUCACAUUUACUAAUCCCAACUCGUUCUAAAUAUAUGAGUGGCAGCCCUCCUAUUUAGGGCGAGCUAAUUAAAGGAAGGACUCGAGGUAAAAAAAUAUAACAUAAUUUAAAAAAGAUUUGUAGGCUUUAAUGUGUUGGACUACUAAAUUAGAAAAGGAAUAAUUUGAUUCCCGACUAAAACGGGUGAGGCAUGGUAACUAAAGGAAGAAUUCUACUUAAAUGGAAUCGAUGGAAGAUUAUGCCCGGCAAAGAAAAUAUAACACCGCUAAAUUGCAUCGUAUUUUUUAUGUUCAUUUUAUAGAAGGAUGCUAUGAGACAUUAUGCUCGAACAAAACAUCAUUUUUUCCUGUUGCAACGCACGGGCAUAUGUGCUAGUCAAGAAAAAAGAAGAAGAAGAAGAAGAAGAAGAAGAAGAGAGAGAGAGAGAGAGAGAGAGAGAGAGAGAGAAUGGUUGAACCGGAAAUUGGGCUAGUCCGAAGUGGGCACCCGCCUGUGCGUUUGGCCAUCUAUUUGACGCAUUAUAUGUCAACUAGGAUUUUGUAGUUUUAUUAAACUGAGUUUCAACAAAAAAAAUUCUAAAAUACACAUUUAAAAAUAAAAUGGAACAAUACAACAACAGCCAGCGUUUGGUUAGCUUCAGGAGGUGACCUUGUUGCUCUCGCUGAAUGCGGUACCUGGGUACUCUCUUGCACACGAUGGGAAUGCCGAGAGAGAAGAGACAUUGUUGGUGGACCUAGAUAAGCUUAUAGGCAUAAGAAGGUGAAUCAAGAAAACCUUGAGUCUAUCUGGGCGUCUCUAAUCGGAAGUCUUUGAAGUGUUGGUUGCCGUGAAGCCCUGGAUUUGGUUGAAGACAUGAAUGAAUACUCUUCAAUGUUUGAUAGCAUGUGAUUGCAAAUUGGUGAUCGAAAGUAUCAAGGGAGUGGGAUGGGAAGAUAUGGUCACAUAGUUCAUGAGAUCAACGUUGUUGCUGGAAACUUAGACUAUGUGGGUUUUUCUUCAUGAGAGUAGAGCCUCUAAUGUAGAGGCAUAUAAUCUAGCUAGAUAUUCCAUGCAUGAUGUAAUUGGAAGUCAUGUGUGGCUUCUUUCACUUCCCACUAUCGUCGGUAUACUAGCCGCCUUGACUGAAUAAGAAAGGGCAUUGAUUCCCCCAAAGGAAAUCUUGAAGUCUAUUCCAUCCAAAGUAUUAGUCAAAAGAAAAUUCGGUGAAGGCUCAGGUGUCUCUUUUCAUGCUACAUAUGACAAGAAGAGAAUGAAGUCCGAAUUCCGAAUAAGGCUAGAUUCACCGGUUGAAAAAUUCACCCUAUGAUUGUGAUAACCGUGAUGAGUCUAGCCUUUGUAUGUUAGCACAAACGUGAAAGAUUGCCAGUAUGGUUGCUCUUAGCACUUGUGGUCUUUCUAACAAAUAUAUAUGGGUGGUCGAGGAAAUUACUGAAAUUCUCAUCUUGAAAGGUUCCUAGAAUAGCAAUCCAUAAUUUAUUGAGUAGUUUACCGAAUAUUGUUUGUAAAUGUAAUGCAACUAGUGUAAAGGUGUGGAAAACAUCUUAGAUUUGAAAAAAAUAUUGAACUCAUGUAAAUUACCAAGUAUAGUAGCAAUGGUAUUUGUGUGUUUGCUUGCCAUCAUCCCUACAUUUUAUCUUAAUAAAUAAUGAUAGACAAAAGAGGAAUGUGGAUAUUGAUGCUAAGCAAAGAGGAGCUCGAUCUAAACCUGAUCAUUCUCUGGGCAAGGCCGGGUUAGGGUAUUAAAAUAUGUUCAUGGUGUCUCAUCAUGUAUAUGAAAGUAAUGUUCAUUCUGAAUUAGAAAAUUGUUCUUAGUUUAAUAAAAACUAUUCCUCGUCACUUAUUAAAAAUAUAUUCUCCAUGCAUUAAGCAAAUGUCCAUCAUGUUUUAAAAAUAUCCAUCUAUUAUUCAGAGAAUGUUCUAGGUGUAUUUUAGAAAAUAUUUCUUCUGUAUUUCAAAAAUAUUCAUGUAAUUCAAAAGGUGUUCAUAUGUUUAAAACAAUAUUCAGGUAAUUUUAAAAAUAUUCAUGUGAUUUCAAAAGUAUUCAUAUAAUUUUAGAAAAAAUCCCACAUGCUUUAAUAAAAUAUGUAUGUAUUUUGAAAUAGCGCAUGUGUUAAAAAUAGUUCAUGUAUUUUUAAUACUAUUAAAAGGAAAAGGUAAAAAACAAAGAAAAAGGAAAAAAGUGAGAACAGGAAAACAAAAAAGAACUGCAACAUAAAAAAUAGAUUCAUCAUUUAAAUGAAAAUUGUUCAUCGCGUAUUUAAAAAUUGCUCGCCAUUAAUUUCGUAAAUGAUUAUAGUGUAAUUCAAAAACUCUUGCAUUAAAAUAAUUAUAAGGAAAGUGAUUCUUCAUACAUAGUUUUUCUUAUAAUUUUUAAGAAUUGUUUAUAAGAAGAAAAUUAAAGCCAAAUGAAACACAAUUCUCAUAAUCAUAUAAAAGUGAAUUUUCAUGUACAUUUUUUAUGGAAUUGAGUUCCAAAAUUUUGACCGGAAAAUAUGUUUAAAAACAGAAACAUAUAUAUUAGUGGAACAACACAAGAAUGGUCCGCCAUUUAUCUCAGCUGGUGGUGGCCUCGCUGUUACUGCUAUAUGGAGGAUCUAGGUGAGUGCAGAUUUGCAGCUCCCGAGCACCAGUGCUCUCUAUAUUUAAAUAUUUUGAAAUUCGUGUUUUUAAAGUUUCAAAAAAAUUGAAUUUUUUCCCGAGGAUACACGUACACAUUCCGAAUACCCGUGGCAAGUUUCGGUAGAAAAUAUCGUUUUGUUUUAGGCUAUAGAAAAAAACAAAUUUCUGACAGUGUAUAAGAGAACAAUUGUGCCAUUUCUGUCAGAAAUUUCUCUUUUUCGUAUUUCCCAAAAUACAAAGUAUUUUUUAUCAGAUUUUUACCGGGCCUUAGGAAUAUGUGUAUGUAUUCAUGUAUUUUUUUUAGAAUUUUUUUUUGAGCGGACACUGUGGUGCUCACUUCCUGGUGGGCUGAGAGCAUGUCAUUUGGCACGCUUUUAGCACCGUCAAGUGUCGUGUUUUGGACACUUUCUUCGGGUUUUGUUUCUAUUUUGUUUUUUCGCACACAUUUUUAGAUUUUUAAGCGGUUUUUUUAUUAUUAUUUUUUGACUUUUUGGCUUUCACCGGUCUUCCUUAGCUUUUGGACAAAAAAAUAUUUGAAUAAUAAUUCACGAAAAAUAUGUUUUUUGUCUUUCGCAAGGCACGAUUUUGCUUUCGUGAGAGGUACGUUUUUGCUUUCGCGAGGGGCAUGGUUUUGCUUUUGCGAGAGGCACGGCCAUGCCUCUUGGAAACGGAAAAAACAUAUUUUCUAUUUUUUUUCUUUCGCGAGAGGCACGGCCGUGCCUUUCGAAAACGAAAAAAAGCGUUUUCUACUCUCUUUUUUACAAGAGGCACGGUUUUGAUUUCGUGGGAGGCACGGUUGUGCUUUCGCGAAACAGAAAAAAAUGUGUUUUCUGUUUAUUUUUCUUCCGCGAGAGGCACACCUCACCCAAACACGAACCCUGCCCAGGCACACCUCACCCGAACACGAAAAAAAAGCUCGGAUCUUUGACACACCUCACCCGAACACGAACCCUUCCCAGGCGGCACCUCCAAGGAGGAGCACGACAUGAAACACGUCGUUGCCACCCAAUCCUAUAGCCGAAUUUUGAGCUUUCACCCGAGAGGGGGAACGAGGGUGGAGAGGGGAGGACCUCGACUGCACCUCCAAGGAGGAAGAACGACACCAAUGGCGUCGCUACCGCCGAGCCGGUUAAGCCGACCACGAAGCACACACCAGCUCCAGAUCCGGCACUCGCGAGACACUAGCAGCUGGAGACGACGGUGCAAAGGGAGUCAAAGAGAAGGGAGCCAAACCUCGAAUCCGAUGAGAGGGAACUCCACGCCGUAGCCAGCCCCCACCGAUGGCUCACCACCUGCGUGGUCGAGCAAGCCGAUCAGAAUAAUCCACAACCAGCUCCAACCGAGAGGACGCAGUUGCCUCGCCAAGAAGGGUCGCCACCCCAGAUCCGAAAACCUCUGCCAGGGACACAUCAUCAAAGGCCUCGCCGCCACCUUCCCCAGCAUCCGCGGGAAAUUGCCGGUCGAGAUCAUCAGGUCGCUGCGAGGGAGAGCGGGGGAAGAGGGUGGCGGCGCGGGAGGAACCAUAGUCGCCACCAGUGUCGUCCAGUCGGACCAUGCGGGGCCUGGGAAGGGGACUACAAUCAAUUGGCCAGUGUUCCUGUAAGGCAGCCACUAGAUAACGGAAAUGUGUCCUCUCCUGUCUGUCGUCACCAAAGUUAUAAUAUUAAUUAAACUAGAUGAUGCCCCGCGCAUUGCGGCGGGACUUUCUAGCUUCUAUGUGCGGCUUCAAAAUAAGCACACAUAAUAUGAAUUAAAAAUGAAAUUUAAGGUCCAAUUUGGAUUUAUUUUUACAUUUGAAACAUUGAAUAUAUUUAUUGUUCACCACCAUACACGUAUUUAGCACUAACAUGCAAGCAUUCUUCAGGUUGGCUUGAAAAAAUUGAAAUAAAAACAAACAUUGGGGAAGAUAACUGAAGACACUUAGAGAAUGGACUCUUUAUAGUUUGGUUCAUAGCCACUCCAUCAAGAUCCUCGAUGGGUAGGCGAGGUUGCAAGAUUUCCUGGUCAAACUGAGACACGAUGAUUAGGUAACAUGUGAUUGAACAACUGGAAGGAAACUUUUAAACAUGAAUUAUAUAUCAAUGGUGUCUCAUAGGGGAAUCAAUAUGCAAUGUGUGACAAUUGCUUGGUAAUCUAAUGUGAUCAUUUUUCCUUAUUCAAUAUGGUCCAUACUAAAUUAUGAAAUUCCAACCCUCCUUAUACCAUAACCAUCUUGUUCCGAUAUAAGACAUGAGUUCCCCUAAAAAAAGAUAUAAGACAUGAGAUAUGCAGCAGAAUUUGACAACAAUCCAAUAAAGUGACUAAUAAACAUUUAUACUUGGGAAGUUGGGAUGGCAAAUAAUAUGAAAGUGCAUUCAUGUAUGAACAUAACUACAGAAGGCAUGUCAAAAUAUAAUAAACAUAUCAUGCAUGUGGGAACCAAUAGACAUGGAUGAUGGAUCCUUGGGAGGUUGGGAUGGCAAAGAGUAUGAACGUCUCUGAAUGAAACUACAUAAUACAUGUGAAAAUAAUAAUAGACAAAUCAUGUGAGAUAAACUCGGCCUUGUAGAGGAGGGCAAUUAGGUGGAGGAUGAAGAUCUACAAAUAAUGAAAAUACCAGGAGGAUGAAGAUCUCUUAUUAAAAACUUCUUCCAACAUACUCUGUUUUCAAUCUCUGCUAUAUAUAAAAAGAAAAAGGUCAUGGAAAGUUCAGUUGUAGUACUACAACCUGCAGGUUAGUCUUGCUUCCACACAACGGAAAAUAGUUCCGGGGAAUUACACUUAUCGUUCAGGCUCAUCAUGCACCUUCACUCCAUCCGCGGAUGAAGGUUACAGGGAAGUAUAAUAUUUUACCUUAGUGUCGGUCUGCUGCUAAUUGUUCUAGAUUGAUGUUGUAGUACCGUGGGCUUGGAUAGGCAGACAUGGUGAACAACUGACUGAAAUCAGUCAACACAAAUUGUUCUUUGGUGGAGUCGGUCGGGCAGAGGAGGAGACGCAAAUGUAGUGUCGUUGCUGGGAGGUGAUGGCAUGUCUUUUGGUGUCAAUAAUGAAAAAGAUAUUACCAAAGAUGCCAAGCUGAUGCUGGAGACGAUGCAAUGCCCUCCACUGUUUAGAGGUGGAAUUUAGCGAGGCAGGGGAAGUCGCCUAGAGUCGGCGGCGUCGUUGCUUAUGGGCAGCAGGGUCGAUGCUGCAGGGUAGCGGCGAUGUCCUGAGGCAUGUGCUUCUCUUCUUGAGGGCGGAUCACACUAGUGCGUCUGGAUCCAUCAGGGCGGCGGCCUGCAGCAGAGAAACUCCAUCGUCGAAAUUCAUCGCCUGCAUGUGGAUUUGCAUGCACCAGUUGUAUUAUCAUCGGUUGGUCUACAGUUCUACACAUCGGUUUGGAUUCUCAUGAACACGCAUGCUCAUGGUUGUGCUAAUUACGACCAACAAAUGAAUCAAAAAUACCAAGAGGAGGAUGAAGAUAAUUAACGGAUUCAUAUAGUUGAUCGAUCCAUCAAGAUAGAAUGGGUCAUCUUAAUGUAUACACAUUACCUGCUGAUGUUGAUCUACCCAGAUGAGCUAGCAAGAAAAGAGUAGACUUCUACAGCAGUGAGGAGGAGCAUCGAGAGUCGACAGCCUUGACCUCACGCUUGUGGAACCUACGGUGGCAGCCGCAUGCAGCGCGGAGGAGCGGCUCGACAGUGCCCUUUGGGUCGACGCCAUGAACUCGCGGCAGCUAUGAACAUGCCCACCGAUGCCGGCAGCAUGGUUGCAUUAUCCUGAGGUCAUGUUCAUGAAUAAAUUCUGGAUGGGGCGGUAGCUGUGGUGGAGGCUACAGGAAUAGAGGAGAUUGGUUGCUUAAAAGGCGUCUAUCUGUUACUCUUCCAUCAGUUUUUGGUGGAUAAGAGACGAAGAGAUCUGUUUUCCUACAAUUAAGAGAGGCAUGAAAUUAGUUGGUGGGCCAUGCUGGGAAUUGAGGAGAUGGAGCUGCAAUGGUGGGGAGCUCCAACGUUUCUUCUUCUUUCGUACUAUAAGCGACCAAAAUGUCAUUUUUAAACAAAAAAAUUAGGCAAUGACAUGGUAACUUCGUUGAGGUGGACGCGCGAAAUUGAAAACUGAAAGUUGAUGUGGCAUGAAGCUGAUGUAAACAGUGUACAUGUUAAAAGAAUUGGUUAUAAUGAGGAUCAACUUCUUAAAAAUGUAAGAUGCUAACUAGCUAUCAGUGGAAUGUAUGAUGUUACUUACUACGACCGUCAACCCUCAGAAGAAAAACGGUAUUUGAAUACAAAGACAGCUUAUUCCUUGACUCCUUGUAAGACAAUCAUAUAUAUGGUGAUUUCAUCGAGCGAGGCGUUUUGCCUCCCAGGCUUAGAUGAGACCAUGAGUAAUUAAAAAACAGUUGGAGAUAUUAAAAAUAUUUUAAAGGAUUUGUCUACGUCUCAGCCGACUGAGACUUUACUGACGUCAUCACAUAUAGAUUAGGCCUGUUAACUAGCCUCUAUCUGUUGGGUUGAAUCCGGUUUAGCAUCUGGGCUUAUUUUCCUUUCCAUUGUUUGUUUGUUUGUUACUUUUGGGCUGGGCCGUUCACUUUUGGGCGCCGCUCUCCUCCGCACGUGACUCUGCUGAUCCCUGCUGCUGCCUCUCACAGCCUUGUCGUGUUGUAAACCGUGUGGCACGGUGCGUGUAGGAAGGCAGGCACGAUGACCAACGACGAGGCCUUGUUGCUGGCGCUCCAGGAGACGGUCAGGUACGGCAUGUUCCUCGGUACAUGCAACUCGAUCCUCUCCUCGGUCAAUAAAAGAAAAAAGCUGAAUUCCAACUAAGUUAGAAGUCAUAUAAUUGUGCAAUUGUGUGCCUGCAAUUGAGCAUGCAACCGGCCACUCUCUCUUACUACCGUCGCCCCCUCCGAUAAAACAAAGGACCCAAUUGCAACCAAAUAAGAAAGACAUGCAGUUGCGUGCCUAGUGUGGGAUAUGCAAAAAAGAAAAAGGUGAGUUGCAACCAAGUUAGAAAACAUGGAGUUGCAUGACUAUAGUUGAGCAUGCAACUGGCCUCUCUCUCUCUUAUUGCCGCCCCUUCCCACAAAAGAAAGGCCCCCAGUUGCAACCAAGUUACAAGACAUGCAGUUGUGUGCCUGGUGUGUGACAUGCAACUAGCGCCUCUCCUCAUCUGACAAAACAAAAGCUAAGUUGCAACCGAGUUAGAAGACAUGCAGUUGCAUGACUAUAGUUGAGAUUGCAACUGGCCCCUCUCUCUCUUACCGCCGUCAUCCUCCGACAAAACAAAGGUCCCCAGUUGCGACCAAGUUAGAAAACAUGCAGUUGUGUGCUUAGUGUGGGACAUGCAAUUGGCCCCNNNNNNNNNNNNNNNNNNNNNNNNNNNNNNNNNNNNNNNNNNNNNNNNNNNNNNNNNNNNNNNNNNNNNNNNNNNNNNNNNNNNNNNNNNNNNNNNNNNNNNNNNNNNNNNNNNNNNNNNNNNNNNNNNNNNNNNNNNNNNNNNNNNNNNNNNNNNNNNNNNNNNNNNNNNNNNNNNNNNNNNNNNNNNNNNNNNNNNNNNNNNNNNNNNNNNNNNNNNNNNNNNNNNNNNNNNNNNNNNNNNNNNNNNNNNNNNNNNNNNNNNNNNNNNNNNNNNNNNNNNNNNNNNNNNNNNNNNNNNNNNNNNNNNNNNNNNNNNNNNNNNNNNNNNNNNNNNNNNNNNNNNNNNNNNNNNNNNNNNNNNNNNNNNNNNNNNNNNNNNNNNNNNNNNNNNNNNNNNNNNNNNNNNNNNNNNNNNNNNNNNNNNNNNNNNNNNNNNNNNNNNNNNNNNNNNNNNNNNNNNNNNNNNNNNNNNNNNNNNNNNNNNNNNNNNNNNNNNNNNNNNNNNNNNNNNNNNNNNNNNNNNNNNNNNNNNNNNNNNNNNNNNNNNNNNNNNNNNNNNNNNNNNNNNNNNNNNNNNNNNNNNNNNNNNNNNNNNNNNNNNNNNNNNNNNNNNNNNNNUGGUUUGAAGACAUGCAGUUGCGUGCCUGUUGUGGGACGUGCAACUGGCCCCAUCUCCCUCGACGUCGCCCCCUCCAACAAAACAAAUGCCUCCUAGUUGCGACCAAGAUAGAAGAGAUGAAGUUGCGGUCCUAGUGUGGGACAUGCAACUGGCCCCCUCUCUCGACGCCGCCCCUCCAACAAAACAAAUGUCCCCCAAGUUGCGACCAAGUUAGAAGACAUGCAGUUGCGUGCCUGUUGUUGGACAUGCAACUGGCCCCAUCUCUCUCGAUGUCGCCCCCUCUGACAAGAUGGUACAACCAAAUUUAUUUACAUAUAAUAAAAAGUAUUAUUGUUGCCCCCUAAAAUUAAUUUAAUAUGGAAAAUGGUGGCAAUGUACUAAGGGCAUUGUGCCACCAAAAAUCUCCCUGGUGUGUCAACACACAACAGAAAAACACAAAAAAGCAGCACAUCAAAAAAGUUGUCCAAAAAAAUAAAGAAAAGACAAGCAUAAGUUAUAUCCUACAAAACACACUCUCUUGUCCCUAUUUAACAUGACUUGAUUAAUUUUUGCUAUCAUGCUAGGAAAAGUGCAUUGUUCCACUAAAGUGUUCAGAAAAAAAAGUCAUAGCAUGAACUAAUAAAGUGUUGACUAGUACUUUUGAUGAAUGGUAGACCAGAAUAUUCUCAGCUAAAAGAACCCAAAAAAAGAAAAAGAAAACUUCUUUGAAAAAAGUACCUACAAGCAUAGAAAAAAGGUGGUGCUACUAGUUAUAAGAAAAAAAAUCUAUUAUAGCUGCUUGGCCUUACUACUAAUUUUAAGAAAAAAAAAAUCUUAACUCGAUAUAGCCUCCUAAGAAGAAACUUACAAAAAACAAAAUGAAAAAUAAAAUAUAAGUGCCACACUAGUAAAAUGGGUUGGGAUUAAAAAUCUGAGAAAGGAGACAACACAUACACUGCUAGUAAAAAUGGAUCCACUGAAAAAGAUACAGCAUGCUCUACUUUCCCAGGGGAUUAUUUCAACAUUCUACUGAGACACAAAAAGAUUUAGUACCAAAAAAAAUCGAACUCCUAGUAGAAAAAAAUAGUUUCAGUAACCAUACCAACACCUCUGGAUUACUGUAAUCAAACAUCUGUCCGUGAAAAAAACGAAUCUACAUUAUAUGGAUACAUGCAAAGUUGCAAACCUACAUAUACCACUAAAAUUCAGCAUACAUCUUAAUACACACGAACACAAAAAAUGAAAAUCUAAUAAAAAACCAAGAGUUACACACUGGGGGGCGAUUCUCUACUUGAAAAGUACUAAACCAAUAUACUCCCUCCGUCCGGAAAUACUUGUCUUAUAAAUGGUUGUAUCUAGACUUAUUUUAGUUAUAGAUGCAUCCAUUUUCAACCAUUUGUAAGACAAGUAUUUUCGAACGGAGGGAGUACUUGAUACAAAAUAAAAAAACUGGAACCGAUACAACCCCGCUCAGAUCUAUGAUAUGCCGUGCCGUGCAAAAAAAAAAGGCAAGCAAGCUUGUGGAUGACUCACCUGUCCAGCAGCAUCGCCCAUCCUCUCUCGCUGGGAGUGCAGGAGCGCUCGGAUUUUGGAAGAAGAGGAACGGAGAGAGUGGAAUGGAUAGAGAUGAAAUGUCUGCAGCUAACUGCUCCAUUAACUACCAUGGUGCCUGCUCCCCUUCCCUCCCAGCGGCCCGAGAAGAAAAACAAGAUAGAAUAAACAAACAAAAAAGCCCACCCCGCACAAACUGCUCCAGCUAGCCAACCCCGCACAAAUGCUCACGGGUGGCCACGCUUCGACGGAAAAAAUGAAACGGGCCGGUCCUGCGCCUUGCACGGGCCGAAAAGAGGGACAAAGCGCUCCAGCGAGAAUCUUCACGCGACUACAUAUCGGACGGCAGACUUCGCGAAGUAGUCUCAGUCGACUGAUUUUUAGCAUAUCCGUAUUUUAAAAUAUCCAAAAGAAUUUGUGGAAAAAGAUGACUAAAUGCGUGAUGACCGUGUCAAAUUUUAAAACAUUUGAUGUCUGAGUAGCUAGGACAAAAUUAGGGUCUGAAGAUUUUAGCACGCACCAAGCAAUCUUUCUUAAAAAAUGAUUCAGGUUUUUUUGAAUUUUUUAGUAUUAUUUUUAUUUUCUUCAAAAAAUUGGCACGUGCCUCACGCACUCGGUAAUCUUUCUUCAAAAAUGAUUCCAACCAGUUCACUGUUUAGUUACUGUAACAUUACACAUUUUAAGAAAAGAUAAGUGUAACGUAACAAAUGCAGUGAUGCAUGGUACAAUACAUACUCCACUAUGAUAGUCUUAGGUCGUUGACGUGCUCAUCAUCCCUCACCAGCGCCAAAGAUGAAAAAGGUUCGACUCGGCCACCACCCCCAAAGUGCAAUUCAGGGCGGGCAGCUCCGAUAGUGAUAAAUUGGGGUAGGAUAUGUAAGACUAGAAUCAGAUUGAUUGUGGUAAGUUUAUAUUCACAUUUGUUGAGUGGGAACCGUUGCAGCUCAUUUGUUAGCUUUCAUUAAAAAGCUAAUACUGCCUCAGUCCUGCAUUCCUUAGAUUUGCAGACACCAUCCCAAAAUAAACAACUCAAUUUAAUAUUAACUUGGGACAGAUGGAGUACAUCCAUAGAAAUUGUUCAGUUGAUAGAUUCCUAAGAUCUACUAUUGACAGGAGUAGAUUUAUAACAGUUAAAACUACGAUACAAGUUAAAACAACUUAAUAAAGAGAGUUCUACAAUUGUAAAACUUUCUGAAUAUUAAGUUCCGAUCAUAUAUUAGAUUCGGAAGUUUUGUAUAAUCAUGAUGGAAGUCUUGCUUUCUUUAUUUCCUCGAUAUUACUACUUCCUGCCAUUCCAAAUCAUUAGUCAGGUUUUACCCUCCACAAAGAAACAUCAUUAUAUGAUGUGGUACGGUGGACAAGCUGUUGUCGUUCCCGCUGAACGAUGUGUCGCCGCCCCCAUGUAAACAGUGCCUCCUCCAGAUCUGCUUCAUCUCCUUUCCAACAAAAUGAAAAAGACCAACACACACACACCCUCCAAAGAAUAAAACUUGCCCAACAAUCACUCGUAGUAAACCAUUUUAACUACUCCCUCAAACGAUCUUAUAUUUCUUUACAGAGGGGGUAGAAUACAAGAACCGAGGGCCAUGAAACUCUUGAAAAGAGGACUCUCAGAUUGCAUAAUCUUACCCCUAAUUUCUUCCCAAUCCAAAUCGGACUGAAAUCAACGAAGUGGUGAAGGUAAAGCUCACUGGGAGCGGCUGUUGAGGUGAGAUUGCCCCCUACGCGUGCACGGAGUCAAGCUGCCGCUAUAGGGUAUGGGGUAAUCUCAUCUCAACGGCCGCUGCAGAGAGAAAAGGCAGGGACGGAUUCGAGCUGCUGCGGCGGCGCAGGAAUAUUGUGUGGAUCUGGCGAGAUGCUCCGGGAGAUGGAUCUGGCGAGCCAUUGUGAACCGAGAGAGGAUUGUGUGGCG
rnacentral:lncRNA from 1 species